UUUUUUUUUUUUUUUUUUUUUGGUUUUCUUUUCUCUGCAUAAAAGAAAUUUUUCCAUUGAUCAGAAUGAGGAUGAAUCGUUACAAAGAGGAUUACUGUCCAUUACUACACCUAUACAACUCUAUACAUAUACAAAAAGUUAACAGAACAUAGCAGACUUAAAACAAAAAUGGACAUAUCUAAAGCCAACUGCCAAUUCAUCAUCGUUUUCUUUACGCCUUGCUUCGCUACAUUCUGAUACAGAGACCAAAGUAUGAUUGUUCCCAAAGGCUAGGCUCUAAUUGCAGUUUUUUAAAAAGCUAAAAGUUGGGUUCAGAAGCACCUACUAGUCAGAUAAAUUUUUCUUCAACUUAAAGAAUAAGCAAAAAAGCAUUAAAAAAACGUAUCAAAACAGUUUCUUGCUUUAAAAAAAAAUGCAAUGGUGAGCUAUAACUUUAAACUGUCUAGAACAAGCAUUGUAUAUUCACCAAAACAGCGAGGAAAAUGAGCAAAAAACAAGUACCUUGAAGUUGCCUAGAGGAGUCCAUGGCCAGUCGUACAGUAUCCCUGGUUUAGAAGCCAUAGUAGACCUUUCUUCUAGAGUUCUCUCAGGUUUUCUCGACCGUGUAUUGUAUCUUUAGAAUGUCUACUUUGAUGUCGCAAUAUAUAGAAAAACAUGCAUGAAUGCAAUCACUCGAUUUUACUUUUCACCAAACUCCUAACUACACCUACACGUAGCACUUCACAGCAAUGCUAUUCAUUUACUGAGGGAUCCGUUUUUGCAGCCUUUUUUUAGUUUAUUUUGCAUUUACUCUCAGUACUGUUACUGUACUCUCCACUUAGAGCAAAGUAAAUUUGUUACAUACUCUUCCAUUGAUGGUUCGGUUCUUUACCAACAUAAGUUGGCUCUAUUAAUAAGUACGGUCAUUGUUUCACCGUACAUUCAAAUUUUGCUGAUCAUGUAAGAAUUAAGUGAACAAUUUAUAAGAAACUUUUAAGCAUCUUAUGGUUCGAGGGCGUAUUUUGAUCCGUUGUAUUGAUUGGAGUUGAAUCCAUCAAACUUUUUUUGUAUAGGAAAAAAAAAAAAUAGUCCAUUGCUUUCAUCCUAUACUCUGUAAAAGCUAUAAAAGUAAAGAGUUGUGAUAACUUGUUUUUUUUUUUUCUAUUUUUUGUUGGCUUAUAAGAGUUCAUGUGAACCACAAUUAGAUGAUUACGAUAAAUGCAACUCAUAGACAAUUAUAAGAAUUUACUACUUUUUAAUUACAAUUUUGUUGCUUUUGUCAUGGGGCCUCAAUUUUGAUAGCUAGUGAUACUAACAUGGAUGGGACAAUACCAACCGAAAAAAAAGAAAGAAAAAAUUGGAAUAGGCUUUUCCCACCCUCUCAGCAGGCAAAGGGGCUGCUCAUAUCUUUUUUUUACUUCUUUGAUGAAAAUGAUGUCGAUAGGAUUCAAAUCCUAACAAACACCCAGUAGAAACUUAAGUUCCCCUAUUGGUCACUGGACAAAACUUAGUGGUUCAUAUGCAUUUUUUAUUGCUUAAAGUGUAUAAAUGGUUGUGACAAUCUUUAGUGCCUUUUAUUAUAUAAAAAAUGUUUGAGUGAUUUUAGUUUCAGUUAUCACCAGGAAUCAAUGUAUGAUUUUUAAUGAAGAAGGAUCCAUCCUUACUUACCAAAUGAACCAAUAUAUAUGUGUUGACCUAGUACUCUAGUUAUGUGAAAAUGUCAAGUAUUUUAAAGAAUUCAAAUCAGCAAUUAUACAUUAAUAAUAUAGUUAUACAUUAAUUGAAUCGUGUGAUUAGAAACUUUAUACAGGUAUCAAAGCAAAAUAGACAUUAAUAAAUACCACAUAACGAGAGAAGUAUGGUGCAAGCUAAUUAUUCUUUAACAAGCCUAACAAGAGAUUUAGGCAAAUGAUAUAGUAGCUCUAAGAAAAGUUUCGGCACUCCAUUCAACUUUUUUGCUUAAUGAAAUGAUACAAAAACCUAUAAAAUAUUAUAAAAAAUGAAAUUAUCCCUCUAUGUGUUAUAACUUUCUCUAAUUUGUCUCUUCAAUUGAAUUAGUUUUCUCUACUCUUAAAUUAGUCUUAAGUCAUUAUCAAGUAAUAAUGAAAGAAAUUCUUAGUAGAAAUGAUUUUAAAAAUGUCGUGUGAGUAUGAAUUAUUUAGUAGUGCUUGAGUAAAGUGAGUUGUCUAUUACUUUUGGCCUUGUUCAUUAUUUUUUUGGUUGAGUUUUACAACUUCAAACAAUAGUAAAGUUUCUCUUUUUUUCUAGAAAUUUAAGAUUUUAUUGUCAAGAGUGUAGAGGUCUCCAUAAAAAAUAAUGCAAACUAAUAACUAAACUAUGUCUUGAGGGAAAUUUUGACAUUUAAACUAUUAGAUUAAUCUAGUUUGUAGUUGUUUUAUGUCACUUGUGAAUAAAGAUGGAAUACAUGAACCUUUUUUUUUCCCUGGAGUGCUAACCUUCUUUUUUUAUGUAAUGAAAGCAAAUUUGCUAAGGAUGUACUGCAUUACUGGCUGAGUGAGUUGUCUUACACCAUGGGACCAAGGAGAAUAUGAGGAACUUCAAUUGGACAAAAUACUAGACCAUUAAUAAAUUUCAUUUCUUAUCCUUAGGAAAGCAUAUAAUAUGGUAGCUAGCUAGUCCAAUAACAAGUCAAUGCAGUGUAUUUAGAUCUUUACAAAUGAGAAAAAGGUAGUUGGAUUCUUCAAUCGAGAUGUUUGGACAAUUAUUUAGCAACUUGUAUUCAUGUAUUGCUAAAAAAUUAAUUUUUUUUUCUUUUCUAGGUGUUUAUAAGAAGGGGAUGCUCACCUUAAUAACAAGGCAUGUCAUUGGCGUGCUUGACAUUAUACAUAGGUUUAGUAGUUUUCUGUUGGAAAAGGGGUACCCGUACAGGUACACAAUAUCAAAAUUAAACCAGAACAAAUUUCUUUUUUUUCAAGUACCAGUUAAAAUAGGAAUAAACUAAAUCACCAAAUAAUAAUACCAACAGUGAUAAUAAAAUGCAAGGAAAAAUAAAAGCACAGGACACCAAGAUUUUUACGUGAAAAAUCCAAAUUGGAAAAAUCAUGGGACCUAAUCCAAUUAAAAAUAUCUACUAUCACAAUAAUGGGAAUACACAAGUCUAUCCGAAAUAUUCGGAUGACAAUAAUAUCACCAAUACCAAUCAAACGAAAUUGUUACAAAAUCACUCCCAAAAACUGCAACUGUCAAAGAAGUGGGUUUGGAAAGGUGUUACCAAACGAAGAGGAAAUUUGAAAUCUAAACCUGUAGAUAAGUAGAGUUUGACAAAAGGAUCGUGUGUGUAAAAUUUCGUCUCAAUCGGACUUCAAAUCACCUUUCAAUUGAGGUUUCAAAGUUGCACAGAAUUUUCUCUCUCUAGCUCUCACUCUUUCUCUCUCUUCGUCUCUCUCAAAGUGGCGGCUGUAGCCUUUGGUCUCACACUAGGACCAAAGAAUGAAAUCCCGCAUCCGGCUGCUCACUUUUCUUUUUAAGUCAAAUCUUGACUUAAACCUAAAAGUGUUUGGUUUUGUGGUUUGGCCCACAAAUGGGCUGACCUACAAACCCAACAAUCUCCCCCUCCAGCUCAUUUGGGGGGUUCCACCGAACCUGCUUCUUGUCUGCAAAAUAAGAGUUUCUCCUUAGGCAAUGUCUUGGUAAACAUGUCCGCACCAUUAUCAUUUGUAUGCACCUUCUCAAGUGUCAAUAACUUGGAAUCCAAUACUUCUCGAAUUUAAUGAUAUCUCACAUCAAUGUGUUUGGGUCGAGAGUGAAAUGUAGAGUUCUUACACAAAUGAAUAGCACUCUAACUGUCACAAUAAAUGUUGUACUUCUCUUGCUUCAUACCCAACUCCUGAAGAAAUUUCUGUAACCAAAGAGUCUCCUUUCAUACUUCAGUGGUUGCGAUAUACUUUGCUUCCGUACUAAAAAGAGCGAUGCACUUUUGUAAUUUAUUUUGCCAUGACACUGCUCCCCCUGCAAAAGUCAUCAAAUAUCCAGAUGUGGAUUUCCUAUUGUCAAGAUCAUCUGCCAUAUUUGCAUUGGUGUACCCAUCUAACAUAAUUUUUCCAUUGCCAAAAUAUAAGCACAAUUUGGAAGUUCUCUUGAGAUACCUGAGAAUCUAUUUAACGGCAUUCCAAUGCUCCUUACCAGGAUUAGAGAGAUAUCGACUGACUACUCCAACAGCAUGAGCAAUAUCUAGUCUGGUGCAAACAUGACAUACAUCAAACUACCGAUAGCCGAGGCAUAAGAAACAUUUUUCAUAUCUUCUUUAUCUUUAUCACUUGUAGGACACUGCUUGAUGUUCAGUUUAAACUGACCCGCAAGUGGAGUUGAGACUUCCUUAGUCUUGCUCAUGUUAAACCUAUUGAGUACUUUCUCAAUGUAUUUUUCUUAAGACAACCAAAGCUUCCUAUUUUGCCUGUCUUGUGAGAUUUUCAAUCCCAAUAUUUGUCUAGCCGGAUCCAAAUCUUUCAUUGCAAAGGAUUUACUUAACGUCCCUUUUAGCUUGUCAAUUUUCACAGUAUCACGACCAACAAUCAACAUAUCAUCAAUAUAUAGCAGAAAAAUAAAAAAAUCACUAUUUGAAAAAUUUUUCACACAAGUACAGUGAUCAGAUAUAGUCUUGUAGUACUCAUGGUCUGUCAUGAAGGAGUCAAACUUCUUAUACCAUUGUCUCGGUGUCUAUUUCAAUCCAUACAAACUCUUCUUGAGACGACAUACAAGAUUUUCUUAACCACUUUCUUUGAACCCCUCCGGUUAUUCCAUGUAGAUUUCCUCUUUCAAGUCGUCAUGCAGGAAGGCUGUCUUCACAUCAAGUUGUUCGAUCUCCAGAUUCAAACUGGCUACAAUACGAAGAACAACUCGAAUUGAUGACAUUUUUACCACAGGAGAAAAGAUUUCUUCAAAAUCUAUACCCUUCUUUUGACUAAAUCCCUUCACAACCAAUCUUGCUUGUACUUUGGUUGUGAAUUGUGCUCCUGAAUUUUCAACCUGUAAAUCCAUUUAUUCUUUAAAACCCUCUUACCCUUGGGCAGUUUCACUAAAUCAUAAAUAUGAUUUUCAUGCAGAAAUAUCAUUUUCUCUUACAUGGCUCGCAACCAAUUUUCUUUAUUCUCGUGCUCUAAAGUUUCACAGUAGGAUUCAGACUCUCCUCCAUCUAUUAACAACAGAUAUUCAUAAGAAUUAUAUCUGCUAGAAGGUCUCCUCUCUCUGGUAGAUCUCCUAAGCUCAUCUGGUGGUGAUGAUGGUGGACUAAGUGGUGCCUCAUGCUCAGGUUCAUCAGCAGUAGAAUUAUCACCAUCAUUAACAUCCUCUUUCUGUUUUGUCUCAACUCCCUAUUGAUUAAAAUCAACAGGUACUGGAAUUGAUUUGGAUCUGAAUUUGAGCUAGCAGGAAUGUCAUCUGAAGACAACAUCUCUUAUCUUCAAUGGUUUGAUUAGGAGUGUGUAAAGUCGAAAAAUUUUGAUUUCGAAAUCGAUUUCGAAUUGAAUUCGGAAGUUCGAAUUCGAAAUUUCGGUAAUUCGGAAGUGAAUUCGGUAAUUCCGAUUUCGAAUAUGUCGAAAUCAGGUUGAAUUCGAAAAUAUGAAUUUUGAAAUCGGAAUUACCGAAUUCGAAAUAGGAAUUCGAAAUUGGAAAUUCGAUAUCGAAUUCGAAGAAUAAUAUUUAUAUAUAAUAUAAUAAUUUUUAACAAUACAUAUAUAAUAUAUAUUAUAUAACAUAAAAUAAGUUAAUAAUUGAAAUUAAAAUUGAAAGCCAAAAACCCUAAUUUUUCCAGUUUUCACUUACUCACCAGUCACCUUAGCUCUUCCGCCGCCCUCUUCCUCAUCGCCUCUUCGUCAAUCAUUACUACCUUCCUUUCUUCCUUAUCGCCUCUUCGUCACCUUCGUCACUAGGGGUGUUUCGCGAAUCGAGCCACUCGCGAGCCGAUCGCGAGCGGCUCGAAUACGAGCUCGACUCGAGCUCGUCAAUAUCGAGUUCGAGUCGAGCUCGAGCUAAUUAAGUCGAUCUUGAGUUCGAAUUCGAGCUCAAAAACAUUAAACUCGCCGCUCGCGAGCUCAAUUACAUAAAUAUUUUUUAUAUUUAUAUUUUUUAUUUUAAUAGUAAAAUUACAUAUAUCCAUAAUAUUUUAUUAUUUAUUGAAAAAAUUAUUAUUUUAUUCAUUUUUAAAAAUAAAUAAUUAUUUUUUAUGUUUUAAAAAUAAAAUAAUAAUAAUUAUUUUUUUUAUUUUUUAAACUCAAGCUCGAUUCGAAUUUGACUCGAGCUCGAGCUCGAUAUUUUGAGCUCGUCGAGCUCGAGCUCGAGUUCGAGUUUCACAAAAUUAACUCGAGCUCGGCUCGAUUAGCCAAAACUCGGUUUGAGUUCGGCUCGUUUGCACCCCUAUUCGUCACCUUCCUUAUCACCUUCACCUUUCUCUUCGUCACUGGCUCUUCCUCAUCGCCUCUUCGUCACCUUCCUUCAUCUGCCUCCAACUCAGCUUACUCUCUCACUCUCUCGGUUUCGCCUUCAUAUUUUUCACCUUCUUCAAGCCCGACAAAGACAUAAAGUGUUGGCACACGUUCUUCUCUACGAGACUCCCUCGGCAUCUGGGAGAUACCUCUGCGCCGAAAGUGUUCUUCAUCGUGGUGAAGUGGUUGAAAUCUUGGCCAAACUCUUUCCAAAGUAUCCAAUUCCAACAAAGUAAGUUCACUUGCUCAAUCAUUCUGAUUCUAGUCCAACUCACUGUAAUAUUAUUCAUUAUUUUUAGGUAAAAGUAAAACCCAGAAAAGAUAAAGUGGUAAAUCAAAUUUAUGCUGUAGAAAAUUGAUGAGCCCACAAAUUAAUUUGGUGGCCGUUUGACUAAUGUUAAGUGAAAUGGUUUACACCCAAGAAUAAGAAAUAAAAAAAGUUAUUUGAAAAAUGAUGCUGGUUUCUUGUUUACUAAUUUGAUUGAUAUCUUUCUGUUUCCGCAACAUCCUUUUUGUAAUCUUUACCCAACUUAAUGUCAAAAAUUUUGCUUCUCCAGUGAUAGGUAAUUGUUUCCCUCAAAAUGGCAGGUGAUUUGGCUUCUCAAUUUCACCAAACCAAAAAUGUUUUAACUUUUGGAGAAUGGAAAUUUUUUUUUGGGACGCAUGUGUAAGAAGAGGCUUUAUUAUUAUUAUUAUUAUUAUUCUUUUUGGGUGUGGGGAAUGGGGGAGAUUCAUUUAUUUAUCAUCUCCAAUGGUGUUGUUGUAAACGGAUUAGGGAGCAUAAGUUAUGCAUAAUUUAUUAGCAUAAAUUAUAUUUUAGAGAUCAAUGUGUGAUUAUUUGUAUUGUAUAUUGUAUCUCCUCUGUAUAGUAUGAUGUGCUGGUGCAGUAGGAACAUGUGUGUGGCAGUGACAAUAACUUUAAGCAAGAUGACAAUAGUAAGACAUGUGGACAGUGGUUUCAUUGUAAUUAGGAAAAGUUUGGCUUACCAAGAGAGCCAACAGUUAUUGAUGGUCAAAUCACAAAAGUUGAGUUCUUUUUUCUUGAAAAGCAUUUAAUCGCAUUGAUUUCACUAUUUUGAUGAGGUUCAGGUGAAGAUAUUUUAGUUGUAUACCGAGUUUAUAAAUCGCAAAACUUUAUAUUUGCUGCUAUGUUUGGCUCUAUUUUCUUACUUUCUGUGCUAAAUUGGAAACAAGUUCUCCAGGAAACUGCAUUAUGUGAUUCAAACUCUCAAUAUUUCUUCAUUUUAUUAUCUAAUCUAUUGCAUAUAUUGGGAAACAUAUCUUCAUUUUAUUUUCACUUUCUUUUGCAUAUCAGUAAGCAUGUCCACUUUUGAGAUAGAAGGUUCAAGUGAUUCAACACCAUCUUCAAGUCCAGCUCCUAUUUCCAACAGCUGUGAAGAAGAGAGGUGAGUACAAGAAAAUGUCACCAGCUUGGGAUCAUUUUCAGCCUCACUAUGUCCAAGGUGUUCGUCAUGGCAUAUGUAAUUACUGUACGAAAAUGAUAGCUGCUGAUCCAAAGUCUAAUGGUACUAGUCCUCUCUUAUCCCAUGUUAAAUCAUGUGAAACGAAUCCUGUAAAUAAGUCUAAGGGGCAAGGUACAUUAUGCUUGGGUGAGGUUGGUGGUCUUGGGGGGGAUGUUAAGAGUGCACUUAUUAGUUGGAAGUAUGACCCUGAUGCAAUUAGAAAAAGCAUUGCUUAUAUGUUGAUUGUUGAUGAAUUGCCAUUCAAACAUGUAGAAGGUAAAGGAUUUCAGCAUGUCAUGAGAACUGCUUGUCCUUCUUUUCAAAUUCCUUCAAGGUGGACAAUUACUAGAGAUUGCUAUUAACUUUAUUUAGAUGAAAAAAUUAAGUUGAAGAAUAUGUUAAGGCAUAGAGCUAUUAGAGUUUAUCUUACCACUGAUUGUUGGACAUCUAUCCAGCGAAUAAAUUAUAUGUGUUUGAUAGCUCACUUUAUUGAUUGUGAUUGGCAAUUGAACAAAAGAAUUUUAAAUUUUUGUCUAAUUAGUAGUCAUAAAGGGACUGAAAUUGGAAAGAGUAUUGAGAAAUGCUUAUUAGAGUGGGGGAUUGAUGAUGUUUUCACAGUAACAGUUGACAAUGCUUCUUCAAAUGACACGGCUGUGCAAUAUUUGGUUGAAAAAUUGCAAAAUUGGGGUAAAUCUAUAUUAGGGGGAAAGUGGAUUCAUAUAAGAUGUGUAGCUCACAUAAUCAAUUUGAUUGUGAGUGAUGGCCUAAAAAAAUUUGGGGGGUCCGUUGAUUUUAUCCGAACAGCUGUGAGAUACAUUAGACAAUCACCUUCUCGUUUGAAAAAAUUCGAGGAAUGUGCUGAAAUUGAAAAAAUUGACAAUAAAAGGUUACUAAGUUUAGAUGUGGCAACUAGGUGAAACUCAACCUACUUAAUGUUAGACAGUGCUCAUAGGUUUGAGAGGGCAUUUGAGAGGUUUGAGGAGCAAGAUCCAUAUAUGCUGCAUGAGCUAGAGCACUUGCCAACAAAAGGUGAUUGGGAAAAGGCAAGAUUCUUAACUUUAUUUUUGGAGAACUUUUAUGAUCUCACAGUAAAGGUUUCUGGUUCCAAAUAUGUGACAUCUAAUAAUCUUUUCAAUGAACUUAGUCACAUUAAUGGCAUCCUAAAGGAAAUGGCAGAAAGUGCUAAUCCCGACUUAUGUGGAAUGGCAAAAAUAAUGAAAGACAAGUAUGAUAAGUAUUGGAGAAAAUUGGAGAAAAUGAACAUGUUGAUUUUCAUUGCUUACAUGUUUGAUCCUAGUACAAAGUUUGAGUACUUUGAAUUCGUUGCUUGUAAAAUGUAUGGUGAUACCGAAGGUGCUGUUGUGGCUCAUGUAGCCAAGGAUGCAAUGUAUGAAUUGUUUAAUGAUUACAAGAGACUCAAUAGUUCUGCUGGAUCUUCUCAAUUCUCUAUUUCCUCACUUUCUAGUGGAUCUGAAAAUAGCAUCUCUCCCUUUGAUGGAGAAGUCUCCAAAAAAAUAAAUGAUAGAUACAGAAUUGAGUUCAAGAAAAGAAAAGUUGAACUUUGAGGAAAGAAUGCUAAAUCUGAAUUUGACAAAUAUUUGAGUGAGGAUUGUGAGGAUGAGGAUCCCGAGUUCGAUAUCUUGAAUUGGUGAAAAGGUAAUAGUCUUCGGUUGCCAAUACUUUCGCAAAUGGCUCGUGAUGUGUUGGCUUUCCCGGUCUCUACGGUUGCUUCCGAAUCUGCCUUUAGUACCGGAUGACGUGUUCUUGACCCAUUCAAAAGCUCUUUAACUCCAAGGAUUGUGCAAGCCUUGAUUUGUGCUCAAGACUGGUUUCGGACAUCCGAAAAUGAGUUGAAUGUAGAAGAAAAAUUGGAGAAUCUUGAGAAAUUUGAAUCUAGUAAAUUAUCUUCUUUUUUAUUGACAAACUUGAAAUAUUUUUUCUAUUCAUAAAUGCAAUUAAGCUCCUUCAUUAUUUUUUUUUCUUGAAUAAUAGGUUUGAUCAAAGAAGGUGCAGAAGCCACAAUUGUUGAUGUUUGAAUUCUCUAAUGGUGAUUCUGAUUUGGUGCUCAUAGAAAUUUAAGUUUGAAAUGUUGUCAAACUGAAAUGUUGUCUUAUUUGUGUGAAAGGCACUUUGGUUACAUUUGUAUAACAGUAUAAGUAUUAUCGUAUGAAAGACUGGAAUUGUUUGAUAAUAGUUGAUUUGUAUUAUUUACUGGAAUUGUUUUGUAUUUGAAAUUUGGACUGGAAUAGUUGUAUAAGUAUUCUCAUAUAAAGUGGUAGAGUUCUUGUGAUUUAUGGUAUUGAAUAGGCACUCUGGAAUGUGGAAUUGUUAUUCAGCUUUAUCAUUUCCUAUUGAAUUUGAGACAGCUGACCUGUGAAAUAUGGAAUCUAAGGGGAUUGCAUUUACUUUGAACAGGUUUUCUGUUUUUGAUUUGUUAUUAUCCUUAUGACUGUUUCAUUGUGGGUCUUGAACGAAUUUCAUUUCAUUCGAAGUCACAAAAUUGAAACUUUAAUUUGAUUGAAGAACCUUUUUGGUAGAUGGUCUGUUGUUUCCUUGAUUUGUGGUUUAUAGUAUCUACAAAUGCUUUGAGUUGCUUUGUUCAAAUCAUAUCCUAAGCUUUAUUUGGCUUUUUGAUUGUUUAGCCUAUUUUUAAGUUGAUUAGUCGUGGAAUAUGUGCUGAAGGUGUUUUAUGACUUUAUUCUGGUUAACAACCUGUUUUGGUUUGGAGGAGGAACGGCUUUCAAAUCUCCUAUUAAAUAGAGGCGAAAUUAAGUUUCUUUCAAGAAAGGAGAGGGCACAAAAUAAAAGAGAGAAUUCGAUGAAUUCGGAUUUCACCGAAUUCCGAAUUCAAUUCGGUAUCGAAUUCGAAUUCGAAAGUAGCAUUUCGAAAUCGAAUUCGGUGGGUGAAAUUGAAGCCAAAUUUUCGAAAAAUUUCGAAUUCAAACUUCCGAAUUCGAAUUCGAUGCACACCCCUAGGUUUGAUUUUCGAAGAUGAUAAUAUCUCUGCUCCUGAUCACCUUAUUCUUAAUAGGAUCAUACAACUUAUAACCAAAAUAUUCAUGUCCAUAACCUAAGAAAAUAUAUUGUUUUGAUUUUACAUCAAGUUUUGAUCUCUUAUCUUUGAAAAUAUAAACAAAUAUCCGGCAACCAAAAACUCUCAAGUACUUAAAAGAUAUAUCUUUUUCCGUCCAUAUUCUCCCUGGGAUGUCACCAUUUAGAGGAACUAAUGGAGAAAGAUUAAUCAAAUAGACCGCAGUUCUCAUUGCCUCACCCCAAAAAAACUUUGGCAACUUAGCAUUAGAAAGCAUACAUCUGACUCGUUCAGUGAUGGAUCUAUUCAUCAUCUCUUCUACUCCAUUCUCUUGAGGAGUUUUUGACAUAGUUUUCUCCAAUCUAAUUUCACGGGACUUGCAAUAGAUUUCAAAUGGUUCUCUGUACUUACCACCAUUAUCAGUACGUACACACUUUAACUGUUUACCAGUUUCUCUUUCAACUUUGUUAUAAAAAUCUUUAAAUACAUCCAAAACCUGAUCUUUGAAUUUCAAAACAAAACACAAAACCUUUCUAGCAAAGUCAUCAAUAAAAGUUACAAAAUAAAUAGUACUAUCAAGAGAUUUAUCUUUCAUAUAACAAGCAUCAAUGUGCACUAAUUUUAAAGGAUUCAAUUUUCUAGAUUGAGGAAAAUUUUGAAAUGCAACUCUGUGUUGUUUCCCAUAAAUGCAGUCAAUACAAGAUUUAAGUGCAUUACUUCUAAUUUCAUGAAGGAGUUGUUUGUGAAUAAGUGUCUGAAUCCCUUUUUCACUCAUGUGCCCAAGUCGCCUAUACCAAAGGUCAAUUGAUGAAUCACGAAUUGCAUUAAUUUCUCCCUUCCCCAAUUUGGCUUGCAUCAAGUAGAGGGUACUUUGCUUCUUUCCUGCAACAACGAGAUUUUCUUUACUGAUUUUCGUUUGCCUCCAUCUUGCAAGUUAUGAUAACUCUCAUCGGCAAGUUUUCCUAUAGAAAUAAGAUUAAGACGAAUAUCAGGAACAUGUCGAGCAUUUUUUAAUAUCAGCUGGCACCCGAUAUAUGUAUCCAAAUAUAUGUUUCCCAUGCCAAUAACUUUGCAUGAGAUCUUAUUUCCCAUCCUAACAUAUCCAAAAUUUCCUUCGAUAUAGAUUGAGAAGAAAUGCCUAUGAGGAGUAACAUGGUAAGAUGCACCCGAAUUAACUAUCCAAUCGCUGUCACAAUGAAUAAUAUUCACCUGACCAUCAUCACAGAAUACAAACAUAUCAUCAUGAGCUGCCACAACUGUUGUAGUCUCUUCAUCAUCUUUUUCCUUCGUCUUACCCUUUUUCUCAACUUGUUCCUAUUUUAGGAUUCUGCACUCCUUCAUAUAAUGUCCAUUUUUCUUACAAUAAUAGCAUGCAAUAUUUUUCCUUGACUCAAACCUGUCUCUGAAUUUGUUUUUGCUGUUGUGGGAUUCUCUACUUUUGCUUCUCCCUUUUCUUUCUUUCUUUUCUGUCACCAGGACCUAAGAUUCAUAGAUAAUUCCUUGUCCUUCCUUCUGAACUCUUCAUUCAUUAUGGGUUCUUUUGCAAUGGCCAUGGUCAACACACUGUUUGGAGCUGAAUUACUGGCGGAGACCACCAUGAUCUUUCAACUAUCCGAUAGUAAACUAAAUAAUAACAAAGCCUUCACUUCAUCAUCUAAAUUCAAAUUUAACAUAGAUGCCUGGUUUAUCAAUUCCUGAAAAUUAUUCAGGUGUUCAGUCAUAUCUUCCCCAUCUUUAUAUCUCAUCCGAGUAAUCUACUUCAGACAACUAGCCUUGUUCAAACCGGUCUUCCGUUCAUACAUACUUUCAAGUUUUUUCCAUAAUACAUCAGCUUUAGUGUCAUUUGCAAAAUGUUGAAAAAUAUUUUGACCAAUCCAUUUUCUAAUAUUACCAACAAUUUUUCUAUGCAUAAUAGCCCAUUUUUCAUCACUCAUAUCACUUGGUUUUACCCUAUCCCCUGGAACAGGUUCAAACAAAUCUCUACAAUAUAAGUAAUCUUCUAUUCAAGACUUUCAAAUCGAAUAAUUAGUAGCAUUCAAUUUUAUCAUGCAACCACUAUUCGAAUCAUUCAUUUUUAACCAGUACAAAUGAGCAACCUAACCUGACUGAUCUGAUAUCACUUGUUGGGAAAAGGGUACCGGUAUAGGCACACAAUAUCAGAGUUAGCCCAGAACAAAUUUCUCUUUCCCCAAGAACCAGUUAAAAUAGGAAUAAAUCAAAUCAUCAAAUAAUAAAAUCAACAGUGAUAAAAAAAUGUAAGGAAAAAUAAGGGCACAGGAUACUAAGAUUUUUACGUGAAAAAUCCAAAUUAAAAAAAAUCACGGGACCUAGUCUAGUUAAAAAUCUCCACUAUCACAACAAUGAGAAUAGACGAGUCUACCCGAAAUAUUCGGAUGACAAUAAUAUCAUUAAUACCAAUCAAGCAAAAUUGCUACAAAAUCACUCCAAAAACUACAACAGUCAAAGAAGUAGGUUUGGAAAUGUGUUACCAAACGAAAAGGAAAUCUGAAAUCUGAACGUGUAGAUGAGUAGAGAUUGACAAGAGGAUCGCGUGUGUAAAAUUUUGUCUCAAUCGAACCUCAAAUCACCUUCCAACUGAGACUUCAAAGUUACAAAGAAUUUUCUCUCUCUAGCUCUCACUCUUUCUCUCUCUUCGUCUCUCUCAAAGUGGCGGCUGUAACCUUUGUUCUCACACCAGGACCGAAGAAUGAAAUCCCUCAUGCGGCUGCUCACUUUUCUUUUUAAGUCAAAUCUUAAGUUAAACCUAAAAGUAUUUGGUUUUGUGGUUUGGCCCACAAAUGGACUGGUUCACAAACCCAACAACCAAGUAGAGUACGAGGAACUUCAAUUGGACAAAAUAUUGGAUCAUUAAUAAAUUUCAUUUCUUAUCCUUAGGAGAGCAUAUAAUAUGGUAGCUAGCUAGUCCAAUAACAAGUCAAUUCAGUGUAUUUCGAUCUUUACAAAUGAGAAAAAGGUAGUUGGAUUCUUCAAUCGAGAUGUUUGGACAAUUAUUUAGCAACUUGUAUUCAUGUACUGCUAAAAAAUUAACUUUUUUUCUUUUCUGGUUGUUUAUAAGAAGGGGAUGCUCACCUUAAUAACAAGGCAUGUCAUUGGCGUGCCUGACAUUAUACGUAGGUUUAGUAGUUUUCAUCUACCUGUGAGAUUCGGAUCGAGUGCUUCCAGUACAAUAGCUAAGUCUUUUCCAGUUGAACUACAAGAAGUUGACAAAAAUGUUAACUUUGCUCACCAUCGUUUACUACAAAUAGUGCUUAAGGUACACUCUAACGUGUAUGCAGUUAACAAAAAAAAUAUACUUAUCAAAAUUGUCCAUUUAAAAUAGUUUUUUAUGGGUUUAUGGGUCAAAUUCCAUUAUAAUAUAAAUACAUAUAGAAAGAUGAUGGAAGUGUACAUAGCAAAACACUUGGGACUUAGGAGUUGUGUGAGGAAGUCAUAGUUAAUGGAUAACUAAACAAAUAACUCUAUUCUAAUUAGUUAGGUUGGAUGGUUCGGGAGAGGGAGGGAGUGUGAGUAAGAGGUCUUGUUUCGAACCUUUCCAUUUAUACUAAAAAAAAUACCUACCUUCUGAUUGAAAUAACUAUAUGCUGAUUAUGGAAAACUUUUUUUUUUUUUUUGGAUAAAUUGGGACAAGUUGCCCUUAUAAUUAGAGGUAUAUUAGAAAUUUUUAAAAGCGAUAUUGUGUAUUUAUACCACACAGUGAUACUCUCUCUUUAUAUUGUAUUAGAGGUCGUCUUAUUAGAUGUGGAGAAUAGAAUUAUUUGGUGUUGUAUUUGAUAUUUAAUAGUUUUUGUCAUCAAGCUACAAAUGCAAUUAAAAAAUGGUGUCUUUUCAGUUGAGCUAUAAUAAGUUGGCAAAAAUGUUAACUUUACUCACCAUUUGUAACAAUGUUAACCUAUUGGAUAUGGAGAGUAGAAUUAUUUGGUGUUGUAUUUGAUAUUAAUAGUUUCAUUAUCAAGCUACGAAUGCAAUCUAAAUAUGGUUUCAGUUGAAUUCAGUAUUUACUCAACCAAAAAAAAAAAAAAAAGAAUUCAGUAUUUAACAUUUUUAAAACACCAUGUUUCCAUUCCUUUGCCCUUGCUCCCACCUUAGACAUCAAUUCGGAAUCGGGAGUGCGAACGUUAUCGGUUCAUUUAUUAGUCCCGCCGGCUAAUGAAUUGAGCCAUUGAGUUAGAUCUACCAUUAAAAAAUGCAGUUCCAAACUGCGAACUAUACCAGUCAACCUCAUCAAAUUAGUGUGGAUCUUCAUCUUGUUCAUCGUUCUUCAAUAUCUCAUCAUCAACCAAUCAACGCGGAUAAUAGCCAGCUGCGAAUUCCGCUUUAGCAGGUACAGGUCCCACGUAAACCGUGGUCAGCAAUUCUAGCCAAGAUCCAGGUUACAUUAGACCCCUCAACUUUACUUCCCUAAUUCUUGGCCAACUUUCUUAAUCCAUAGUAGUUGUCUUUUUCAGCCUGCCUUAAUUAUAAACUCACCAUAAUGGUAGGUGCCUCUGGUUUGCUGACGCCAUUUCUGCUGAUCCGCUGCUGUCAAACUAGAGGCGUCAAUCAUAGUAAUUUACUUGUAUUGGUUCGACCGAGCAUGCUCUCGUUAAUAAGUGGAUUUGGAUACGCAAUAUAUUUUGAAUGGGUUUAAAUAAUGAUACAAUUAAAUCCAUUUGAUUCACGUGCAGCAAUUUGACUCAUCUCACUCAUUUAUAUUUAUUUAAAAAUAAUUAUACAUUCAAAUUCAAUUUUUAGUGCGUAUUAAGGGGAUAAAUCUGAAUUUCUCACUAAUUUAAUCACAAUAUCUUAAAAUGCAAGUGUAAAUUUUUUUUAUACGGUUCAUUUGAACGCAUGCUACAUGUAUAAAAAGUGAAUUUUGACCUUAAACAUAGGUUAUAUAUCGUACUUUCAAACAUGUAUAUUCAUGUUAAGAAGAAGAAGAAGAAGAAGAAGAAAGCUUACACUAACCAUGUGCGAAAAAUUACUCCUUCUUAGUGUUAUAUAUCUACGAUCCUCCUCCGAUUGCUUCUGUAGUAGUGAAUGAAUACAUUUAUCAAACUUUAAAAAUUUUAUACUCAAAUUAUCCUUGUGAUAAUAUUAGAUUUCAAUAACAAAAUUUUUCACAAACUAAAUAUUCUGAAAAAUUUUAUUAAAUCACGUAAUAAUUUACUUCUUUUUCAUCAAAGUCGAUGGGUUCUUUUAAAAGGUCAUUCUAAACCGACGUCAUUGCUGACAAAUGCAACCAACUAGAAUGCUUGCCUUGAUUCUCGACAUUUAUUGCAUCAUCCAUUAAUUUGAUACUCCCUCCGUCCCGUUUUCUUAGUCUUUGUCUUUUUUUGCACACAGAUUAAGAAAGUGUAAUUAAUUUGGUUGGAAACAUAAAUUUAGAUUAAUAAUUUCCUAAAAUACUCUUAUGCUAAUCAAUGUAGUCAAUGUAUUCAAUGUAUUGGAAAAACUCAAUGUAUUCAAUGUAGUGGGUUAGUAUUUAAUAACAAUGUAUUAAUAACAAGAUAUUUAAUAAGGGUAUUUUAGACAAUUUGAAAGAUUACUACAUUUCUUAAUGGGAAAGUGGACUAUAAUUUGGGACGGACGAAAAAGGAAAACAAGACUAAUAAAGUGGGACGGAGGGAGUAGUAUAUUUUGCAGUUGUGCGUUCACUAUUAGACUAGUGUUCCUUAUUCUCCCACAUAAGACUAGGACUGCAAAUUCUGAAAAUAGCGGCACAAACAAAGUAGAGAGUGCUAUCUAUGGUAACUCACUAUCAAUCAAACAGAAAGUCGCCAGCACCGCCUAAUAAAUACGGAAAGUCGAGAGCACCGCCUAAUAAAUAAUGAAUUCCUGCUAACCAACCUCAUUCAACACGCGUGCCUCGUGUCGCCAACUUAUUUGGUAAAGCCCUGCAAGCAUUUUGAGAAACAAAAAUGCUACAUUACGACGGUAAGCAAUUACACAUGCCUUUUUGUUUGAAAUGCCAAAAAUCUAUACCUUCAUCUUUUACGUCAUGGUGAAGGUGACAGGUUCGACAAAAAAAUCAUAGGGAGCCGGCCAAUCAAAGGGGAUUAAACCGUCACUGGACCGAAUCAAACGGUACAACCGUCUCAUUCUCUGGGGAAGGAAAUUGAUUUAACGGGACCAUGGGAGAGCCUUUGAAGAUUAAUGGUGAAGGUGACAGGUUCGACAAAAAAAUUUUAGGGAGCCGGCCAAUCAAAGGGGAUUAAACCGUCACCGGAUCGGACCAAACGGUACAACUGUCUCAUUCUGUGGGGAAGGAAAUUGAUUUAAUGGGACCAUGGGAGAGCCUUUGAAGAUUAAAUUUCCACCAACCCAAACAGGUACAACUGCACCGUUGAUAGAAAGUGUUGGGAUAUUUUGGAUUUAGAGAUGCAGGGGUUUUUGUAACCACCGCCUAUACACUUGAGGAGGGACUGUCCCUUCCUGGUGGCCAUGGGACUAUGCUUAGAGAUCAAUGGAUAUGCAAACAUGCUUGAGUGACUAAAAGAUAGAGGUCGAAUACACUUGAAUUCUGUAUAUUCUUCUAGUUUGCAAUAUUUAUAUGUACUUUGAUUUAUGUCCAAAAUCAAAAUUCAGGCUGCAAAUUCAAUUUUCUAUUUUAGAAUACUACCUAGAUGUAUCUCUUACCACAGAAGCGUUUGUUGAAAAACAAUACUAUUUUAUUAAGGGGUCUAACAGGAGCCCAUUGGACACUCGUUAAGAUAUAUUUCAGCUAUCAUAUUUUUGAAAGUAUAAGAUUAAUUAGCGAAACUAAAUAGAUAUAAGGGAUGGUAGAUAAUAUUAAAUAGAAAAAGUAUAUAAAUAUAAAAGAGAAUAAUAAUUAUUAAUAUGUGUGUAUAUAUAUAUACACACACACACACACAUAGUAAGUUAGGUGAAUUUUAGAUAUCUUAACGAGUAUCCAAUGGAUACCCGUUAGAAAAACCCUUCAUUAAUCAGUUAUACUAUUGCCUUCCCCCCUUCUAUAUCACCUUAUUCAUCCUAAGAAAAAAAUUUUCUUGCUAAUUAAAACAUUUCUAUACAUUUUACCUGUAUAAUAUUAGAUCAUCAUGAUGCAAAGAUAACGAAAUGGGCUAAAAUUUCCCUAAGUUUGAAUUCGUUCUUUUCUAGAUAUAUUUCUUAAGGUUUGCUUUAGUAGUUCAAGGAACUGCAUACCAAUUAUAUAUGUAUUCUCUGUGUAUGCCUCAAAUUUUGAGAGAGAAAUUCCAUCAGGAUGGCUUUCUGUCCAUUUAAAAACUAAAGCGUUAUCCUUUCCUUUUGGCAAUGUGUUAACCUUCUCCAUAAAUGGUUGUUCGGCUUUCAGGUGAACAGAAUUCUCCUGAUUUCCACCUUUAGUUCUCUUUGCUGUGGCGAUGUUGCCGGAAUGAUGUAUACAGCAAAAUGAGCUGGAUUUCUUUUUCUUUAGUUUCUUUUUUCAGUGUUAAUUUUGCUGCAGGCUAAAAGUGAUGUGUUGUCAGCUAGUGCUGCACAGUUGAAGUACUUCUCCACCACACACCGGGGGGCGGGCCACCCCCAAACAAAAAGGAAAAAAAAAAAAAACUAUUGUUCUUAGGAACAACUAUUGCGUUACACAAGGGGAAGCAUUGUUUAGGCACAGGAAUUGAUUUUAUUGACACUUUUACGCAAAAAUAGCAAUCUUGCAUGGAAUUUAUGUAACCUCAUUUUUCACAAAUAAUUCACAGCUGAUGUUAUUCAGGGAAAAGAAGAGCUUCAGAUACAGAUUUACGAGUUUGUUGAGAAACGUACUUUACUACCAUCUACGACAUGGAUUUUCCUAAUGUUGAAUGCCUAUUAGCAGCACAUUUAAAUCAUAUCUCAUUUACCAUACUGAUAUACACAGUCAUAAUUAAUGUACUCCUUGCGUUUAGAUGUUUUUUUUUUUUGAAUUAGUUACACUUUCUAAAAAAAUUAAAUACUUGUACCUUCUCUUAAUAAUGAGUGGCCAUUAGGCGCCUAUUAGUUAAAUCGAAUUUCAACCUCAAAGUUAGCCCAAAAUUUCUUUGGAUAAAUUUUACAUACAUUGAUAGUGUAUAUACUAUCACCGUUAGAUUUAUGACACAUAUGCAAAAGUUGAAUUUCAUAUUCAAAUUUUGUAUAGUUAUCAUUCAUCCAAAACUUACACUGUUAGCCAACGUAGGAAACAUUAAUCUAAUUUUUUUUUUCUCGUAAUCAAUUUCGAAGGCUUAUCAUGGAUAAACGAAGCUUUAACAGCUAUAUAUCUAAUCAUAAUUAUGCAACCCUUCGUGCUGCUAGAAUAUGUUUCGUGCUGCUAGAACAUGCGAGUGUCAACGCUGUACUUCCAAUUGAUUAACAUGCAUUUUCUCAGACAAAUGUGCCGUUGUAUGUGACUUAAUUAUCCGAACACGGGUACUAAACUCCAACAUACCUCCCUUUCUUGCCCAAAUGAAGAAAUAGUUUAGUAGUUAAAUUUACUCUCAUAGAGUUUCAGAAAGAAAAUGUUGUACCAUUAUUCUAGUUCAAUAUACGUGCCUGUACAAUAUAGUACUAUUAAUAUUUUACUGCCUCUUCUUUUUUUAAACCUUCCCACCCUCCCCUAAGCCUUCCCUACCCCCAAAUCUAAUAGCGAGGUUCGAACCCUAAUUUGUCAGGCAAUACAUCAAGUCCCUUGCCAAUUAGGCCAACGGAUGUUGGUCAUAUUACUACCUUUUACUAUCAUAAUGAGAAAUUCCACAAAUAUCUUAUCUUAUCUUAAACUACAUAGAGCGGAGAAGCUCCAGCUACAGUUGAUUGUCUUGGUUUCAACGUGAUUCUCCAGCUGAUUUCAUCCUUUUUGGUCCUUUCCAAGCUUCCGUGCAGCCCCUUUGGCUGCUGGGUGCUGUCGAGUCGAGUCGAGUCGAGCUUGAGUAGUGCACUACUCGAGCUCGACUCGAGGCAAAAUAACUAAGCUCGAGCUCGAGCUCGUCAAGCUUUUAAAAUUCGAGCUCGAGCUCGAGCUCGAUAUCGAUUUAUGGAACUCGAGCUUGAACUCGAGCUCGAAUUUAAUUAAAUGUAAUUAAUUCAAAUCAAGCUCAAUCGAGCUUAUUCGAACUCAAGUAAUAAAAAUUAAUAUUUAAUAUAUAAUUUUAAAUAAAAAAUAUUAUUGACAUUUCACAAUAAUAAAAAUUAAAAUAUAUAUUAUAAAAAACUCGAUAGAGCUCGUCGAGCUCUCGAGUAUUAUAUUUCCAAACUCGAGCUUGACUCGAUAGCUCUAACGAGCAACUCGAGCUCGAGCUCGAGCUCGAGCUGCUGACCAAGUAGCUCACGAGCUCGAGCUGAGCUACUUGGUUCAGCUCCAGCCCUAGCUGCUGGUGCCUUUUUGCUCAUUUCUGCUUUUGUUCCCUUCUUCCAAUUGUGCUCUUGUCCUGGUUUUCUUUGUAAUUUUAUGCUCAAUUUUGUCCUUUUGUUUGCUGUCCAUCCUUCGGCUGCUGCUGCAAUUGUUAUCUAACAGUUUUGUCCUUUUGUUUCUUGUGCAUCUUCCGCUGCUGCAAUUGUUAUCUAACUUUAUUGACAAAAAUAUAUUAAUUUAUCGAUUUGAUUUAUUAACUUCCUUCUUUAACUUUCUCCUUCUUCAAAAUAUAAUUUCCUUUGCUCUUUUAUAUUUAUUAACUUUCUCUAAAAUAUAUAUUAGCAAAGAUAUUAAUUUUCUAAAAAAUAUACAAAUCAAAAAAAAUUCUGUGUGCAUCUAAUAUAUGCAGAACAAUAUAAAUUCUAUGUGGUACAUUAUCUAUUCGUUGAUUUUGAAUGAGAUAUUAAUUCAUCAAUAAAUAAAUUGCUUCAUGAUUAAAUAAAUAUUUAUUCAUAUAUGCUAUUCAAUCAAACAUUAUUAAUUUUUGAUAUCAAUGAACUAACGAACUCUUCAAAAUUGUAUUAUCUUUAAAUUUUAGAAUCUUAUUAAUUCCCAAAAAAAUUGACUAAGAUAUUGAUUGAUCAAUAAAUAAAUUGCUUCAUGAUUAAAUAAAUAUUUUUUUCAUAUAUGCUAUUCAAUCAAGCAUUAUUAAUUUUCGAUAUCAAUAAACUAACAGACUCUUUGAAAUUGGGUUAUCUUUAAAUUUUUGAAUCUUAUUAAUUCCCAAAAAAUCUUAUUGUUUUUGGGAAGGUAAUCCAAAAAAUCGCGUCUGCAUUAAGGAAUGGAAGGUAGCAGCUGCACAACUACAACAAACAAAAGUAAAGAAACAAUAAUUUCAAAAAUGUAACUUCCAUAAUAUUUGUUAACUACUAAAUUAUUAAUUUAAAGCUUUUGCAUUUUCGAGACUAUUUUUUCGAGACUAAAAAAAUAUUAAAUAUCAAAAAAUUACGCAGGUCACUAAAAAUCCUAUGUAUAUCUAAUACAUACUAACGAAUAAAAAUUCUAUAUGUAUCUAAUCAAUAUAUAUAAAUCGAUAAUGCGGUUUUGUAUUAAUGCAGAUCAAUGAAAAUUAUAUGUGUUUAAUCUAUAUCUAAUGUAUAUAAAUUAAUAAUACUGCCAUGUAUUAACAUAUAAUAAGUGUUUUUUUAUCAAAUAAUUAUAAUUUCGAGACUAUUUCUAUAUUUACAAUUUUCUCUCCUUCUUUAUAUUUAUCCGCUUAUUUAUUAACUCGCUUAUUAAUUAAUUUUGUCGAAAGUGUGUAUAUUGACAAAAAUAUUAACUAUUAAAAAAAUGAAAAUCACUAAAAAUGCUAUCCACAUCUAAUACAUAAAAUAGCGUUCUUUUUAUGUUUAUUCGCUUAUUUAUUAGUUUUCUCCAAAAUAUAUAUUAGCAAAAAUAUUAAAUAUGAAAAAAAUGCAAAUUCUUAAAAAUCCUACAUACAUCUAAUAUAUGCAAAUGAAUACAAAUUCUAUGUGUAUCCAAUUAGUAUAUAUAAAUCAAUUAUGAUGUUUCGUAUUAAAUAUCAAAAAAAUAUGUAAGUUGCUAAAAAUCCUAUGUACAUCUAAUACAUACAAACAAAUAAAAAUUCUAUAUGUAUCUAAUCAAUAUAUACAAAUCGAUUAUGGUGUUUUGUAUUAAUGCAGAUCAAUGAAAAUCAUAUAUGAUUAGCAUGCAUCUAAUAUAUAUAAAUUAAUAAUUCUACUUUGUAUUAACGUAUAAUAAGUGUUAUUUAUGUGAAAUAAUUAUAAUUCGACACUAUUUCUAUGUUUAUAAUUUUCCGUCCUUCUUUAUAUUUAUCCGCUUAUUUAUUAACUCACUUAUUUAUUAACUUUGUCAAAAGUGUGUGUGUGUAUUGAAAAAAAUAUUAAAUAUCAAAAAAUUAUGCUGGUCACUAAAAAUCCUUUGUAUAUCUAAUACAUACUAACGAAUACAAAUUCUAUAUGUAUCUAAUCAAUAUAUAUAAAUCGAUUAUGCUGUUUUGUAUUAAUGCAGAUCAAUGAAAAUUAUAUAUGUUUAACCUAUAUCUAAUAUAUAUAAAUUAAUAAUACUGGCUUGUAUUAACAUAUAAUAAGUGUUAUUUAUGUCAAAUAAUUAUAAUUUCGAGACUAUUUCUAUAUUUAUAAUUUUCUCUCCUUCUUUAUAUUUAUCCGCUUAUUUAUUAACUUGCUUAUUUAUUAAUUUUGUCGAAAGUAUGUAUAUUGACAAAAAAUAUUAACUAUGAAAAAAAUACACAAAUCGCUAAAAAUGCUAUGCACAUCUAAUACAUACAAUAGCCUUCUUUUUAUGUUUUUUCGUUUAUUUAUUAAUUUUCUCCAAAAUAUAUAUUAGCAAAAAUAUUAAAUAUGAAAAAAUGCAAAUUCUUAAAAAUCCUAGGUACAUCUAAUAUAUGCAAAUGAAUAAAAAUUCUAUGUGUAUCCAAUCAGUAUAUAUAAAUCAAUUAUGUUGUUUCGUAUUAAUACAAAUCAAUGAAAAUCAUAUGUACUUAACAUGUAUCUAAUGUAUAUAAAUUUAAUUAAUUUUCUCCAAAAUGUAUAUAUUAGCAAAAAUAUUAAAUAUGAAAAAAAUAUGCAAAUCGCUAAAAAUUCUGCGUGCAUCUUAUAUAUGCAAAUGAAUACAAAAUCUAUGUGUAUCUAGUCAAAUAUAUAAAUUGAUUAUGCUAUUUCGUAUUAAUACAAAUGAAUGAAAAUCAUAUGUACUUGACAUGUAUCUAAUAUAUAUAAACUUAAAAAUAAAUCAAUCCAAUAUUUAUUGAUUCAAAAAACAAUUAUUCGAUAAAUAAAUACAAAUAUAUGAUUCUAAAUUUAUAAUUUCAAAUUGUUAAAAAUCCUUAAUUUGUAUAUAUUAUAUUUAUGAAUUUAUAUUCUUCACUAUAUUUCUUUUCUUUUAGUUUUUCUAAUACUAAACUCUUCUAUUAUCUAACACACGAUUUUGAAUCUUUGGUGAGUUUCAUACAAAUUACAUUCCAAUCAAUAUAAUUCAUACACUACAUUGCUACUCUCAUUUCAUAAUACAACUACAUUUUUUCCCUAUUUUCUAUCUCAGAUACUCAUUGGUGAUAUACCCUCGCAUAUACAAACAGACAACAUAAGAGUCAUUAAUUGCUAUCAUGCUAAAACUCGAUGGAUCUUUCAGCUAGAAGGAAUAGAAAUAACAGAAGGUUGGCCAAUAUUCACACAAAAACACUUCUUACAUGAAGGAAGUGUCAUCCUGUUCACCCUGUUCAAUGAAAACAAUUAUCAUUUGCAACUCAUCAGCAGAGACUUUAUCCAACAAUCAUAAUUAAACGUGUCCACUAUAGCUUCUUGCACAAAGCAAUUAUCUGUUUCCUAAAUUUUCUUUAUUCUACUUCCACUUAUAUUUAACAAUAUAAAAAUAAACAUAUCGAAAUUAUUUUGAAUUAUUAAUUUAUCUCAACUCUUAACAAAUGAUUUACAUUCCAUUAAUUUAAAUAAUAUUUACAUCCUGUUACUCUUAAAAAAUUAAAUACAAAUCACAACAAUAUUACUAUAUCUAUUUAUAAAUAUAUUAAUCCAAUAUAUUGUUCCUCUAUUUAUUAUUCCAACCCUACUAUGAUAUAAAACACUCUAAACAUUAAUUAGGUUGACUCACAAGACUAUACGGUGCCUACAAUCAUUGAGCUACUUUUAUUUCUCCAACAGAGUUUCACAUGCUAUUGAAUGAGAUUUAUGAAUUGGAAUUAUGAGUUGGUGUAACAUGACUUGAAAGAUGGAAGAAGUGUGUUAAUGCAUAAAAAGUUUGUCAUUUAAAGUUUAGUGUCAUCAAUAAAUAUCUCUGCAUCUAAUACCCUAAACCUAAGUGAUUAAAAUUGUGUCACCAACAGAAUAGGCAUCAAUUUUUAAUGCCUUCACAACCAGCACUCGUUCUCUUGGAUGAAAUUUAGUGUGACAUGUCAAUGAGAUACAGUUGAUUUAUUCUAGGCCCAAAAUUUGGUACGAUCACAUGACCAAAUAGAUAUUUAGAAAUGUUGAACAAUAAUUUCUCACAGUGUCCUGUAAACAAUCAUUAUCAAGCAAUAGUAGAUGAACAUGGGUCUAUCCCACAUCGAAAGAUCGUGGGAUCUUCACUCUGGAUUUAAGGUCCAUGGGAGCAUCCUCCUGUCACUAAUUGGUUGGAUGGAUGUUUCUCGUGGAUCCCACCUUAGAUUGCUCGUUUGGGCCGGUGUGUUCGGUAUUAUCUCUGCGUGUCUGUUCAUUGUUUGGGUGUGUGUGUUUAUUUUCCUUCGGCAAAAAAAAAAAUAGUAGAUGAACAUGGCAAUUCGGUCCUACAAUAAAUUGCAUUUUUUUUUUAGGCAUAGAUGACUUAUUUGCCUUUAACUUUGUCGGCUACAAUAAAUUGUAGGCUUAGAUGUAGGUAGAUGAUAUUCAUGAUCUUUUCUCAGAUACUUUAGACUACGAGUAACAGAUGCCUAAUACCUAAUUUUUUUCGUUUUUUUUUUUAAAAAAAACCUCCCCCACUCCCCUAUUCCUUCACUGUCCCAAACCUGCCGGGCAGGAUUUGAACUCCAACCUAUCACGCGAACGUUCAACUCUUUGGUCAACAGUGAUGCUUAAUACCUACUUUAAUUAAUAAUGUGCUCUUUUUUCCUCUAAGAACGGAUUUUGGAUCCUUACAUACUCCCUGUCCGUGACAAAUUAUUUUAUGAAACUAGACGAGGAAAAUACAACAUGGAAAGUGUACAUUCAUCGAUACACAAAUGGACAUGCAUAUCUCCUUUAAGUUUACAUGUGAUUUUUUCUAAUUAGUAAAAAAAAAAUAAUAAAUAGAUGGGCUAGGAGAUGGUAAAGACUGGAUAUCAAAUUCCUAACUCAUGGAGAUUAAUUCAAAUUCUGAGUUUUAAAUGGUAUUAAUUCAAAUUCUGAGUUUUAAAUGGUUGAAAUCCACUUCAAAUAUAUAUUAGCCAUAAGAGAUUAUUCAAACGGUGGGAUGGAUUUGGGCUGGAUGUGGAAAUCCAAAUCCACCCAUCCAAACACACCCUAAUAUUAUUCACCUAUCUAAUAUGCCCUUAAUUCUUUGGAAAAUUCAUGUGAUUUUAGGACUGAACUGAAGGAAGCCCCAAAAUUUGAUCUCUGUUUGAUUCAAUAAUAUCUUUCCUGAUCUCCCAACAAAUGUCUUUUUUUUUUUUGCCCUCUUUUGGUUGGGGAACCAUUCCUUCGAGCUCUUUGACUUUUGGACUCUAAUGAGCCCUUUAGCAAAUCGGAGGCCCAACUACUUGUAUGAUAGUAUACGGACAACGGAGGAUUAGCCUGUCUUCUGGGCCCAAUUCUCUACCCUGCAUCUCUACCGUCCAUCGUGAUCCAACGGUUGACGUUCUCUCCCUCCAUAUAGCAACCAAAAAAUUGCAAAAGCACCGUCCAUCUCCGGCUUUUGGCGGGAAAAGUGAGUGAAACUGAAAACCUCAGGAAGGAGUAACACUCUCUCUCCAGCUUCCGCUACCACUGCCACUGCUACUACUCCGCCGGAGAAGAGAGAUUGGGAACAAUGGCUCCUCGGAAGAAAGCUACAACAGCUUCUAAGAAAUCGGCAACUAAUCAGAACAAUCAUCUUCACCAGCAGAAGCAAUCUCAGCCCUCUAAAUUUGGAAUCCAACACUUCUUUGAGCGCCACUCCCAAAACCAAUCUCAAAACCCUAAAAAGCCCAUCAAUCCCUCGAUUGGUAAUUCUAAUAGUUCUACGAUCGCUGCAGUCCCCAAAUUUACGGAUGGUGAUCCUCCAGUUCCUCCGAACGCUAGUAAUGAUUCGGCUUCCGUGCCUGAGAAGUCUGGAAAUGAGUCCGAUUCUCGGAGCUUUGAUACGAAAAAUGAGGGAUUGAGCUGUGAAAACUUGAGAAUUGGUGUGAAUGAGGAAGUUGGCGGAGUUGAGAAAUUGGAAAAAGAGAGAAAUAAGGAAGGGAAUGAGCUGAAUAAUCCGUCUCAGAUUACGCCUACAGAUGUAAUAGAAAUCGAGGAGAAUCCAGAUGAGGUUCGGGAGGUUUCACCUGAGGUUUACAAGGGAAAGCCUCCCAAGCGGUUCAAGUUUUCGCCAGGAAUGGUAAUUGUUUUUUCAAGCUUUGUUUUUUUUUUUUUUGGAGGUGUCUGAUUUUGGACUUAAGCUAUAGUGCUUAAUCAAAUAUUGUACCAUAUUUAAUCGCCCCCUUCCCUCUCCCAGCUUCUUAAAUCCCACCCCCUCCCCUACUAGAAUUUUUUUUAAAAAAAGUAAUGAGCAACUUCUUGCGAUUUCCAUGCUCCGUGCUAGCAAAUAUCAUGUAUUAUUGUUUGAAAAAGGGAAAAUUUAAACAAUGUACAAAAAAUUAAGAAGAGAAAAUACAUACAAAAGAAGCGUUUUUAUGGAAGAAAACUUCCCAACCCUAAUAAUGAGUUCUAGGAUGAAGAGCUGAAAUUAAUUUUUAGCUUUAAUAUUGCAGUCAUAUAGCUGAAUUUCUUUUGCUUUCCUUUCAUUUUUGGGUUAAAAUAUUUAAACUGCAUUUAAGUUCAACUAUUACUGCAGAUAUACCUUAUAGUAAAAAAAAAAAAAAAUUGGUUCUCGAAUUAAGAUAAUUGAAAGAGCUGCCUCACAAGUUGGAGGGUGGGAUUAUUUGCUUUAAGUGUUACUGAUGCCAUGAGAACCUAAACUGAAUCCUUCUACAGAGGAAGAAAAGUACUUUUGUGAGGUUUUUAAAUAUAUUGUCUAACAUUUGAACGUCAUUGUGGUAGCUGAUACAGCAAAGUCAGGAUGAUGGAGGCGAUGAGGUCACAUGGAAAAUUUCUCCAAUAAAUGAGCGACUUCAUUCAAUGUCAAAGAAUUUUCCUGAAGUGGUCAAGGUUUUGAAGGAUUCUACACGGUUUAACUGUUUAAAUUUUCAGCCAAGUUCCAUGACAAAGGUUUCGCAAAUAUUUUCCUUUUCUCUUAAUGUUCUUUUUUCCCAAGGCACUGAAGGCUGAACCUCAAUGUUGGUAUUGUUAUAUACAGACUUCUCCCAGUGCAGCAGGAAAGCUUGAAAAGUGGCUUUCGUCUCCACCUGUCAAGGCUGCUGAAAAUUCUUUGACGUGCUCAGAUAGGGUUAGUUUGAGAAAGCAUACACGAAGACACAUUGUGUGUAAGGUUGAAAAUCUUGCAAUCAGAAAUAGUAAGAAUGAUUCUGAAGAGGUUUGUAGUCAAAGUCCCUUUAAGACUCCGCCAUCCCUGUCCUAUUGCCAUGAUAAGGUGAUAAUUCUUCAUUUUGCAAGAUUAAGUUGACUAACUCAAGAAAAUUUAUUUAUCUAACGAUUUAUGCCAUAAAUUAAAUGCAGCCUCAUGAUGGAGUCAUUAUUCAUGGAGAACCUGAUCAGCACAAUUCAAGGCCACAUAAAAAGGUUGUAAGACUACCUUGCAUUUGAUUCAACAAAGCUAUCAUCUUGUUCCUAAAUGUUCAUCCAUAAGUUUCAAAUACUGCUAUGGAGAAUUACAUGAGUUGAGUUGCUCAUUGUGCCAGUCUCUUUUAUUUAUGGUUUCAGGCACUGAUUGAACUAUUGGAUGAAGUAGAGGACGUAAUUUCUGUUGAAGAAUCGGUAUGUGAUAAAACAGAAGCGUGGUUUGAUAUAGGUAGAGCCAUCAAUGAGCCGGAUUCCAUUGUAGAGCAACAGUUAAUAAACACAAAAGAACUAGUCGAGAAGGAACCUUCAAACAAUUAUUUUCUUGUAUUGGAGGUAUGGAACAAUAUUCUUCUAUUCAGCUAGACACGUGAUGGUUUAUUGACAUUUCCCCCAUCGCUGCAGGUUUCUGAGAAGCAUGGAAAUAUUGAUUCUUCUGGUUCACGGAAUUCUUUUAAGGUUCACAAUUUACUUAAAUAUAGAAAAUUAGAAGGUUUGAUAUAAAUGGUCAUUUUAAAAGCUUAAACUCUGGCUUCUAGAUUAUGCGGGUACUGAAUGAGCAAAAUGGAGAAGAGAAGGCAGUGCAUUUAUGGGAUGAAUGGUAAGCAAAUCUAGAACCUUCUCUUUGCAUUCACUUAAUCUACUGUCUUAUACAUAGUCCUUUCUGUAAAAUGUCUUAAUUUUCAGCACAUCAUGACUUAUCCCGCACCAUCUCAAAAGAUGGAGUUGGAAACUCUUGAGCUUACAUAUGUCUUGUUCGGGCAAAAUGCCUUUGCUAUUAGAGUCUUAGCCUUGAUGAGAUAGUACCAAGUUCUGGUAGACUAUUGGCUAGUGUUAAUAAGUUUAGGCUUUCAUACUUAUAAUCAUUUAUCCCACUCAUGCUUGGUACAGGUCUCCAUAAAAUUUUUUGACUGGUCAAUAGGAAGUAAAAUGAACAAACUGCUACAUGAGGAGCAUUCUCCUGAGUAGCACCAUAUUUUUCGUAUCUCUAGCAACAUACAUUCUUAAUCUUCAAUAGUUGCAAGGUGAACUUUACUGUUAAUAUAAGAAGUUCAACUCCAUCUUUUUUCAAUCUGGAAGCAGUGAAAUCGGAUGCACUUUUUGAUUUUCAAUUAGAAUUGCUGAUCACAUUACUGUAGUUUCCAUAUAAAAUCAACUGUUACUUGUAUUUCUCAUCCAGUUGUUUUGUUCAUCAAAUAUUCUGAACCACCCCCUAUUUGCUCCUUUGGUAUUGGAUUCCAAAUGGUGAAUAUCUGUGAGUGAAAUCUUUGUGUUAUUUAGUUGUUAUAUCUGUUCUUUUUUUUUUUUUUUCAGGUUUUAUAGUGUUGUUUCACCUGGAGAUACCGUUCACAUCAUUGGUGAAUUUGAUAACGAGGGAAAGUGUGAUCUCAAUCAUGAGAAGAAUUUUUUAAUUGUUCAUCCUGAUAUUUUGGUGUCUGGAACUCGGGUAUUAUGAAGAAUCAAUUUAGACUUGUCUAAAUUGUGCUUUUCAAAUUAUAUCACUUCUAUCUUAGAUGACAUACGCUUGUCUCCCUUAUCUGAAAACUUCCCAUAUCAAAUUCAGCGCAUCUUUUUCCCUAAUUGUUGUUAUUCAAUCUAUACUACUAGGUAGCUGCCAGUUUUUCUUGUUCAAGGCGCACAGUCCUGGAUGAAAGGCUAAAAUCUAAUGAAUAUGCAACUGCAGCACUGGUUGGCACUUUGCUGCAUCAGAUAUUUCAGGUGAAAAUUUGUUUCAUCUUCUGUUUAAUCUGGAAAAUACGAUGUUCCUUUUUAUAGGAAAACGCUUUCAGUUGUUUCUGUAUAGCAAAUUUUAUAUGUUUCCUUUCCUCAGGCUGGGCUGAUCAGUGAGUCUCUCUCAAGAGAGUUCUUAGAGCAAUAUACAACUAUUGUACUUCAGAAGAAUCUUGACACCCUUUAUGCAUGUGGAGGUAGAACUUUUUAUUGUUAUAUCGAUAUGUAAUUUUCAUCAUCUCGUUGGUUGACUAGGUCUUUUAUUUCUACAGAUACAUGAUUUAUGGUGUUGCAUUAGUUAAUUACUUCAGUUACUAUAAUUUCUUAGCAUAUAUUUCUAUACGGUAUUCACAAAUAGCAACUAAAGGAUACUUUCAGUCUUCAUUAUGACAUCUUUGAGAACUAUCAUUUUUCGCUUGAUCGCAGUAAAUGAAAAGGACACUCGCAUGACCUUGGUUGAAGCGAUCCCAAAAAUAUUGAACUGGAUCUCCAUGUUCAGAGAUUCGCAGGUAAAUGAAUAACAAUUUUGAUGACCUCUCUCCCAAUAUAAUGUCUUCGUGGGUAGGGAUGGGUCUGGAAAAUGUUGUAAUGUUUUAUACUCUUAGUGUGAGCUUGGCCUAGGUCAAAACCAUUAUGCCUGGGUGGCAGCUUUUGUAGCUUACUGACACAUGAAAAGAUUUGUAUAGUUUAGCAAUUUGUGGCUGAAUAGUGUUUUAUGCGAAGUCUAAUUAAUUAAAACUGAACAAUGUCACCAAUUCCAAUCUUGUCAUCAAUAAAAGACUGCCAUGCCAUUCACCCUGUCAUAUAAGCUGAAGCUCUGGAUCUUGGCUAUCUGCAUGCAUACUGCUUUUCUUGAAUUUCUUCAUUCAAUGGCCUGCACUUUGACAUAUUUGAGGUAUUUUAAUUUGUAGAUUCUUCCAUUUGUAUGCAAGUUGUCAUGUUCUAUUCAUGUCACUCUAUAUUUUUGAGCUAAAUUGUUUUAAAAUUAGUGUAGGGUUCCAGGAACCAAGCAGUUGACUUUGGACAUCAUGGUGGACUUCAGAACAUUAAAGUAUCUGAGGUGAGCAUCUCACUUGAUCUUCUUUCAGUAAAGUACGAAUUUGGUAAGAUUAUAUUACAAAGUAUCCAUCUCCAUUGUCGUCUGGAAGAUGUGAAGCUCUUACUAGAUGAUAUGCUUAACUUGGGUGAGCAAAAUAUUGAAUUUUCUGACGUGGAAAAUGCUAUAUGUGCUUGAAUUAUGUGAAGUUUGUUAUACUGAUAUAUCUAUAUCUACUUGAGAUUCAAUACUAAAAUUUCUCUGAUUGUCAUUCAAUUGCAUUCUUUCAAUGCUAAUUGUUCACAAAAAUUACAUGAUCUUCUUCUAUAUAUGAAAAAUUGGUUUUUUUUUUAAUGAGAUGUCCUCUUCAAAAACCUAGGUUGUUGACAUUGAGGAGAUGGCAUGGGCACCCAGAUAUGGUUUGAAAGGAAUGAUUGAUGCUUCCAUGCGGGUAAUUAUAGACAGCAAUGGACAUAUUGGGAAGAUUAUGCCUAUGGAGCUCAAAACUGGGAAAGGAACCAGUGGGCAGGCAAGCUUUUGUAUAGAUAGUUUCUGUAGAACAGUGCAGGGGCCUUGUGGUGGUAGGCCUAAUUUAUUCAUAAACAUGCUUGAUCCAAGUGUUGUGGCAAUGAUUUGUCUUCAUGCAGACAGCUAUGGAGCAUAACGCCCAAGUUAUGUUAUAUACUCUCCUAAUGUCCGAGAGGUCUGUUAAAGUCCAUGUACUUCUUGGAGUUCUACAUUUUAUCCAGUUAGAAUUAACUCAGGCUGUGUUUGUUUCCUUUAUAGAUUUGGAACUGGCAUGAGAAUGUAACUGUAAUCUAUAAAAAUUUCCAUAAAAUACAAUUUCAAUAGCAAGCCAAUUUGAUUUCUUUUAAGGGACCAAAAGCAGCCUCAAUAGUGCUCUUGUAGAUUUUGCAAACUUUCUUUUCAUUUUGUUGUUAUUGUUAAAAUAAUUGUGCCUUUUAUUGUUUCCCGUUCCAGGUACCAGAAAGAUAUCAAUCAAGGUCUACUGUAUUACCUGCAUAUAGAUCAGACACGGGUAAUUUUAAGCACAUGAAGAACAUCUUGCUUUGCUUUUCCUUCAUUGUGUGUUAAUUUGUGAUACAUUUAUCUCUAGGGAAUUUCUGUCCAAAGAUCUGAUUUGGUUGGACUAAUAAUACGCCGAAAUGACCUGGCACAUGAUCUACUAAAGGCAUUGACAACUCAAGAACUACCAGCAAUGCAACAGGUACAUGUACAUUUGAUUGUCCUUUUUGAUUCUAAGCCUUUUGUGCCUUUCAUUACAUGCUUUGACUAGUUUUUGACAUUUUUAUGUAGAGCAUAAACAUGUGCAGAGGUUGUCGCCACCUUGAUGUCUGUACCAUCUACCAUAAGGUAAAAAGUCAUAUCCCUGAAUUCCGGUUGGAUUCCUAGAUCACUCUCUGAAUAGAUGAUGCCAAUGCAAUCAAAAGAUGGAGAAGCUAGAUGAGAUGGUGCAAACGCUAACACAGUUUCACUUUCCCUAACCUCUUUCAAUGUCAACGGGAAACAGUUCAUCAGUGUUCAUAAUCUUUUCUUGGAAUUUGACCUGUUUUGUAGCAGUGUCUGUUUUGAGACUCAGCGUCCCCAAAAUGGAUCUAUUCAUUGAUGUUUUAAUACAUGGAGAAUAGUUAUUCUUUUUUUUUUUCAAAUGCAGCUAGUUCUGCUUUAGUAUUUUCUGCUACAAUCUUACAGUUUUGCUGCCACUGGGUUUACCCCACCUUUGUUAAUUUUUCAACUAUGUAAAAUUUUAAAAAUUUUUUUGUUUCCUUUCUGUCCUAAUUUCCAUAUAUAAUCAUCUUGCUCGUAAUAUUUUGUUCAAACAAUCUGAAAUCCAGUUUGUACUGGUAAAUUUCUCUUGCUGGGAUCUCAAUAAUACAUACUCAUAAUAAAUGGGUAUCAUCUUACGAGUAGAGUUAGGCUGAUGGUGUCUUGUUUAUCAAUGAUUGGUAAGCUAUACAUCAAGUUUGCCUUUUAAGCAUGAUGUACUAACUGAUCACUUACAGAUAUGUAUUCCAGAACUCUGAAUUGCUUACCUUUCUGUGCUGCAACUCUGCUACUUGAUGUUAUUCAUUACAAAUACCUUCUUGUGAAGUAACUUUGUAGCUUUCCCCAUUUCUGCAUGGUUGAUAACAGCUUAUUCGUUGUAAUCUUUUUCGCAUUUUCUAGGUUAAGGUCAAGUACAUAGAACAAUAUGAGGUGGUAAUUCAUCAAAACUGCGUGAUCAACGUGAGUUGAUCUAUUCUUAAAAGAUUGAGUUUAGCAUCAUAGAUGAGUUUUAUGUAUGUUUCCAUUUCUUAUGAGCAAUAACCAUGACAAAACUCAGAGGAUGAAAUAUAAUUUACUAAAGCUAUAAUGAAUAUAGGUUUAGCUACGGCAUUUUGCAUCCUGAAAUAAGGAGGGGAAAUUUCCUAGGCUCUUUUUCUUAAUACCAUCAAAUUAUGGGGAGUGUUCCAUGAGGAUGCUGUUUAUGGUAGGCGAUUCUGCCUUUGUUGCUGUGUUAUCUGUUGAAGAUGCCAUUAAUAUUUUAAGGAAUAAAAGCUGAUUCUUCAUUUUAAAACUACAUUCAUGUGAGGUAUCUUUCUGUAAAUAUGUGGAUAACUGCGAGUUCAAAUCACUAUUUAACAGUGUAGUUCUAAUUUUUCCAGCUUCCUUGGUUGUUACAAGUGGCAUCAUCUCCAUACAGGCAUUUAAGUUGUGCCUCCUCCAUCUUUGGUUAGAACUUUUCAUGCUUCUGACUUUGGUUUUGACUGUUGAAGGCAUAUGGAGGGACCACAGAGAGCAGUGGAUUGGGUGAUAUGUUUGAUUCACUUGUACAGCAUUUAACAACUAGAGAUUCCCUUUUUCUUCAGAAAUGGAAUCGAUUGAUUGACUUGGAGGCUAAAGAAUUGGAGGUAUUAUAUCUGAAAUGAUUCUUUGGCUUAAGAUUGUGGCAUUCUUUCUGUGAAUCUCACUGUCUGCUUGUUAUGUCUUUCUGCGUCAGGUUGGAAAGAAAGAAAUCUGGAUUUCACAUAUUUUGAAGAAUGAUCUCCUUUCUGGUCGCCUAUCUUCCCUUGUUCUUGAUACCUCCCUCAAAAUGCCUCAGAAAGGCUUUUCCAAAGGCAACCAAUUUGUUUAUCGAUUUGUGCAUCAACGUUUUCCAUUAGUUGGCACUGAACAGCAAAGCUCUCCUUCUGGAUUAAACAGCUUUGAUAGUACACUUAGGAGUGGGGAUUAUGUGGUAUCUACUUUGCAGUAAUAUUAUUAUUAUUAUUAUUUUUUUGCAUAUAUUUACUUCCAUGAACAUUAAUGUUAUGAGGCAGUCCUGCUAAGUAUGCAAAUGUUGCGACUUUCUUACUGUGUAGGUCCCUUUUUGUACUUUUAUUGAUCAUAUUUGUCGGUAGAAAAAGCAAUUAAGCAACAAGUCAACUCAUUCUAUUUCAGUUUAUACUUAGCUUUAAAUAUGCCUUAUCCAAUAGUAAUAGGUGUAACUCAAUAAUUAGACGGUCAAUAACAUAAAUUUAUUUGGUCUAGUUGGACCUUUUCUUGUCACUCUACCAGUGUGUGAAGUUUUGCAAAAACUUUUUCUGAAGUUGUGCUUUAUUUUUUUACUGAAUUUGAUCCUUUACAGUGAAAUAGAAGCAUUUUAGAAUUAAAAACGUUAUUUUUUUUAUGCUUUCCUUGCCUCUUUCAUUAUCUUUCUUUGACAAGUGUCCUUUUUCUUUCGGUGAAGAAGUUAACGACUUUCAAUGUCAACCAUCCUAGUUGGCGUCAUUUUUGCCCUUCACAGAUUUGCUUGCACUUUUAAUUUAAAAAGACAUGGUUAAUUUCAUUUAAUUAAGUAAGAUUUUCCUUGAACUGUGCAUAGAGUCCAUCUGUUAAUGCCUGCUUACUAAAUGCACAGCCCAAUAGUUUCUUGCAUAUGUUGCCACUAAAAGCACGUGCAUGUUGCUUCACAAUUAUCAGCUAGUUAUUUUAUACUGCCUUUUGUCUUCCAACUGGUAAUUCAACAACUUCAAAUGAGUUUACCUUCUACUUUUCAGAUACUGAGCACUGACCCUGGUCAUCUGCCAGUCACUAACGGUGUUGUAAUGGAUGUCGGUAGUUCUCAUGUUUCUGUAAGUACUUUAAUUCAGCUGUUACACGGAGUAUCAAUUAGAGACCAGCUUAUAUGACCAUAUCUUAAGUGGUUGAAUUAAGACCAAGAAUAGGUGUUAUUUACAUCUAAGACUAAGAGUAGGUUAUUGAUAUAUUGCUGUAUAGCAUAAUGACUUGAUCAUCCCCAAAGUAGCUGUUUGUAUAGAUCACAGUUUUCACUCAGGUGACUUGUGCAACCACAUAGAUAUCCAUGGUGCAGAAAAAAAAUGCAUCUCUCAGCAGCAACACUUAAAACAACCUUGAAACUACCAGUUGUCUUAAUGUUUAAAGUAGGUUUCAACAUAUUGUUUCACUAGGUAUCUUUCUCAAAGCGCUUGAGGCUUCCAGGAAGCAGUUCUUCAGUGGCAACAGAUCUUAGUCAGCAGGGCUGGCGAAUUGACAAAGAUGAAGCUAUGGCAUCAUUUGCAAUUAUGAGGUAGUAAAGUAAGCAACCUCUCAUUUCUUAUGGUUGUUGCUGGGUAAAAGUUUUAGUUGUUUUGGAAAUAACGAACUGUUACAUAUUGGCUGUAAAGGUUCAACCUAGUUCAACUGUUUUUGCCAAAUGAACAGAGUGAUAAACUGAGGAAGGUGAUUGUCAACCUAGAGGUAAAUGCUGUGUAAACACACUGUUAUCAUAUUUAUUGUUUCCUUAUCAUUUCCCCACUUGCUUAUAAGCAAUCAUAGGCUGCCAUCAUCUCUGGAUUUUUACUUGCUCAUUUGUUGCAGGCACCAGCUUUUGACAGUGGAUGUCUACUUAGUCAGGACCCUGCCAUCUCAUAUAUCUGGUCGGAGAAAAACUUAAAUGAUGAUCAACGCAGAGCCAUUCUCAAGGUAUGCAUCAGAAAUAUUACUGUGGCAUUUGAAUCAGUCUUUAGGUCUAGUAUAAUGAAAUUCAGCAUUUGCUUAGGUGCAUGCUGUGAAAGCAAGCAAGUUGCUGUGGGGUAGCAAAUUGGGAUAACAGUUUUGACACUGACAUUUUCUAACUUCAAUUUCAGAUACUUACAACAAAAGACUACGCACUAAUAUUAGGAAUGCCUGGGACUGGAAAAACAUCUACUAUGGUGCAUGCUGUAAAAGCUUUACUGUUGAGAGGCGCAUCCAUAUUGCUCACGUCCUACACAAAUUCGGCUGUUGAUAAUUUACUUAUCAAGUUGAAAGCUCAGGUCAUAACUGUGUCGAUACAUCUUCUAAAUUGAUUUAUUUUUUAUUGCUCACAAAAGGGGUCUGAAUCUUUAUCAGCUCUAGAAGUGCAGGAUAUGCCAUUAGAUUUUGUUGUUUUUAUUUUUAUUUAUUUUUUCUGGUGCAACAUCAAAAAGGAAUGCUAUGUUCCAGUUUUGUAAUUCAUCAGCAAGGGUGCGACCCAUUGGUAUUUCUUUAAAGAAGGAAAAUUGGUUUAGGGUAUUUUGGAGAAAAUUUGAAAUUAUGUUUUGAAGUUGUAUUUCAAAUAAUAGGAUUGACAACUUAUUGUAUUUGCUUCAUUAUCUCAUUCUCUUUAGGGCUUUUGUCUGUAACUGGUGUUUAAAUUACUGCAGGGUGUUGACUUUAUCCGAAUUGGAAGAUGUGAAGCUGUGCAUGAGGAGGUCCGAGGCAACUGCAUCUCUGGUAGAAUCUCCUCUGUUUGGAUCGGGCUUUAUUUUGUGAUAUGUCUUUGUUGUACUAAUUUGCUGUGGCAAUUUUAUCUUACAGCAAUGGACAUUAACAGCAUUGAACAGAUUAAGCUGAGACUAGAUCAGACCAGAGUAGUUGCUGUUACUUGUUUAGGGAUAGCUAGCCCUUUGCUUACCAAGAAGAGAUUUGACUUUUGUAUCAUGGAUGAAGCUGGCCAAACUACACUGCCGGUAUGUAGGUUGAUUUCCCUUUGUUCUUUCUCCACAAAAGCAGUCCAAGAAAUACUCAAUAUUUGUCUGCUCUUUGUUGAAAAAACAGCAACGAGAGACUCCUAGUUGUUAAAAUGAAACCUGGUUAUGAAAGUGCAAGUCAUUUCCAUAUGGGAAUGGUGCAGUGGCUGUUUUCUUUGAAUUUUCUUGAUAUGAGGCUGUUGAUGGUCAUUUGUUGCCUGGGAUGCCUUCAGUUCUUGCUGUUAGACUAAAAUUUUCAUAGUUGAAUGAUAAGUAUUUCACUUCACGGAAAGGGACCAAUAGAAGCAGUGUUUUGGUUUAAAGAGAAUCCAUAGGCAUUGUAUGCGAUCAGUAGCAACUUGUAGCAAUGAGUAGAAGUGCACGUAUAUGACAUCUGAGUUAGCAGUUAGCCAAAAGAAAAUCAAAGGGAGAAGGUGAUUAUACUUGAAUAAUCCGCAAGAAGUGAGCAUGAUCUUUUAUUCAUUACUGUCUUCUUAGUUCUUUAGCAUGCAUCUUUCCCUAGCUUGGUGCGCUCAUCUUCCUUCUGAUGGAAAUCUAACAUUUUCACCAAUUUUAAGGACACAGCUAUGGAAUCUUAAGUCAGAAUUCAGACUCAGUGGCUUCUGAAUUUGUAGAAGUAUAGGAAUGACUGUCAAUCUUCAUACCUUUUAAUUUUGGAUUUGUACAGAGGUAAAGGAGCGGACCUAAUAGAAAAGCAUAAAUUCUAGGAGCUGUGUUAAUUAGUUCCAACUGCCUCUGACUCAUAAUUUCUUUUAAUUUUUUACUUAUUAUAUUUUGUUGGUAAUAUAAAAUGUACCCAUGUGUGUGUGUGUGUAUUUAUGUACAAAUUAUGAAAUAAAAUACAGUCAGGUGUUUCUUUGUGUUUUCCUGGUUACAGUGUCUUCCAUUUCUUUGGAUUGUUAAGCACAAUGUUCUGCACAGUUCUCCAAGAUAAGCAUGAUAACACUUAAUUGCAUUGGCCGUACUCCAGUGACACAGAAACUAUAUUGUCAAUCAGGUGUCCUUGGGACCUUUGAUGUUUGCUUCGAAGUUUGUUCUUGUGGGGGAUCAUUAUCAAUUGCCACCACUCGUCCAGGUGUUUCUUUUUUCUGAAGUAAUCUUGACUCUUCUGGUGUACCCUAUGAUCUACUCGUUCCUUUACUUGUUUUUCUUAUGUUAGAGUGCAGAGGCUAGAGAGAAUGGAAUGGCCAUAAGCCUGUUCUGUAGGCUCUCAGAAGCACAUCCUCAGGCAAUUUCAGCUUUGCAGAGCCAGGUUAUCUCUAAAUUUGGGUUCUAAUUUUUCCUGCAUCGGCUCAUUAGCUAAAAACACUUGAUGCUUAUACAUUGCAAAUGCAGUACCGUAUGUGUGCUGCUAUCAUGGAACUAUCAAAUGCUUUGAUAUAUGGGAACAGAUUGCAGUGUGGUUCUGCCGAAAUUGCGAAUGCCCAACUCAUUUACCCAUGCCCAUCAUCUACCCCUGAAUGGCUGAAUGAGGUACAUACAAAUUUCUCUAUGUUAUGUUGUAUAUAGAUCUGUUGCUGACAUUUAGAUGGUUGAAAGUUGAAACUGGAUAAUUUUAUAGAUUUUUCUUGAAUGGCUGCUUGAAGUGUCAAGCUACUUGAAGUAAAUGCCUCUCGUUAACUUUCAAAUUACACUAUCUAUUUGUGCUUUCUGUUGGCAUGUUACUGUUCCCUAAAGACAAACUCUUGUGGCAUUUUAACAGAGUCAUGCGUCUUUUCAGUGCCUGCAAUUGCUGCUUCCUUGAUAGCAUUUAAUUUGAACAUAUUACUUUGCUAGCCUCUCACAUCCUGUCUUUUUCUGAGUAACCUACAAGAGUAUGAUUCUGCCUUGUAUAGGGUAUAAUGAAUCCUUUUUCCAUGAUAUAAAGCUUUGAACCAGAUCUGAGUAAAUGUUUUCUCUCUGGAGCCCUAAUUGGUCAUUUGGUGUCUCCCUUCAGAUACAAUCUGCAUGGAGUUUGUGGUCAUAUGUCAAGCUUUUCUCAUCUUUCUGUUUAUGGUCUAGGAUGCCUUAUGCACACUAAAAAUUUGGAUUUUGGUUAGGUACAGAAAUCAGAAUCUCUAAUACCUAUAAGCAGGUUCUGAGGAACCUUUGGAUAUUUGUAGACCAGGAAAAACACUGGGCAAAAAAAGAGUAACUUAUGCCUGCGAAAGAUACUGGCUGACAUGAUCUAAGAUCAUUUACUCAAGCAUCCAUGUGAAUCAUAUUCUGUACAUGACAGGUUAACCUAUGCUGCUCAAAAGUUUCUGGUCUUUUCAAUUCAUUUUGCUUGUUAUACUAACAUUUCUGACUUGGAUAUUCUUUCAAUUUUGCCAUAUCCAUGUAUAUGUUGAAAUGCAGAUGGUUAUUACUUUUUAUUAUUUUUAUUUUUGUUUUUUCAUUUUCAGUAGCGUUAACACUCAAACUUUUUCGUUAGGAACGUUAUGGUCCUCUUUUAUCCCUGUACACUCAAGCUUGUUCUUAUGAAAUUUUUUAUCAAGUUUAUGGACAGUUAUUAUUUGUUUCAAAUUUGUAGCUGUUGUGAUUGAUCACAGUUGGUCACUGUCUCGGUGUUUCUUCUUUUCUUUUUCAUUCACUUUUUUCUUUUCCCUCCUGCUGGAGGAUGGUUGGGGGGGGGGGGUGUGAUGGCUGUAAUGGGGGUACCAGCAUUUUCCUUUGAGACAAUAUUACUAUUAACCGUGACAAGAUUUCAUAGGUGAAUUGUCUUAUUUUCCUUAAUUCUUGUUGCAAAAGUAAUUAAAUUUUAUUGGUUGAUUAAAUUCCUUGAAUUUCACCAGGCGUUGAACCCAGAAAGACCAGUUAUUUUUAUUAACACAGGUUUGUUCAAGUGCUGUUUUCCUUUUACCUUUAUCCCAUGCUUUUCAUCAGAAGAACUUGUCUCCCAUACAACUUGAGUUGUUUACCGUCUUAACAACUCAGAUUUCUUAGAAGCACACGAGUCAAAUGACAGUAAAGCAGUGAACAAUCCAGUUGAAGCUUGUAUUGUAUCUGAGGUGCGAUAUUUGGACCUGAUUACUUAUUGCGUUCUGGGAUCAAGUUUUAUGGAGUUACUGUUCUCAUGGCCAUUUCUAUUUGUAGGUCACAAAUGGAUUGCUUGAAAGAGGCAUUGAAGGAGAAAGCAUUGGCGUUAUUACCCCCUACAACUCACAGGCAAAUCUUAUUCGCCAAGCUGUUUCCACAUCUGUGGAGAUACACACGAUCGACAAAUACCAGGUCCGACUUUUGCCAACGUCUAUACAAUGUUUUGGCUUUAAAAAUUAACUAUUGGCACACCUAUUAUCCUUCUGUGAUGCUCUGAUAAAAAUAACAACUCUUAAGAAGAGCUAGUCAACUAUUAAUCUGGGAGCUGUUGAUAGGCUUUUGGCCCUUCGGUGAUUUGAUUAUUUGUGUCACCUGUCUUGCAAUAGUGAUCACAACAAUCUCAAAUUGGUAGGGCUCUUUUCCAGUUAGUGGUGUUAUCCUUUCUACUGGUUCCGGAAUUUUAUAGUAGUAGAGUUUUUGUUGAAAGACACGUGUGGAAGCUUCAAUUGGUACAAAUAAACUGUUGUUUGUUUAGGAAGGAGUCUAAAGUUUCUUCUAGGUUAAGAAAAUCGAAUAGUAUAGUUUUUUUUUUUUUUUUUAAUUUUUAAAUUCUCAGAUAGAUCCUUGUGAAAUGUUGACCUAUCAUUGGUGGAAAUUUGAACUCUCGUGGCUAAAAUUUUUUUUUACUGUGAAAUUCUCUACUAACAUGGAAAAUUGUAUGGAAAUUUACAAUUUUGUCAGACUCGUGUUGUUGAAUUGUCGAAACCAAACGUUAUUUUGUUUUCCCAUCUUUUUGGCUUGCAGGGUAGGGAUAAAGAUUGCAUACUGGUUUCUUUUGUAAGAUCCAGUGAAAACCCAAGGACCUGUUGCUCUUCACUACUUGGAGACUGGCACCGGAUUAAUGUAGCCAUUACACGGGCCAAGGUUCUCAUCAUGUUGUUCUUAUUUAAUUAUUGUGUUUGUUUCAGCAAUAAAUUAUUUGUGGUUGUAGCUGGAAAAUGUUUGAUAUAUUUUACUACAUUUCUUACCAUCUGGACAUUGCGCUACAGACAUUCUUAUGUCUUUGAAGCUUUUUCGUUAUUUUUUUGACUGAUAAAGAUGCAUAACUACUCUUGAACAAACAUGUACACUGAUGUGGUGUUUUUCCCCUCCCUCUUGAACAGAAGAAGUUAAUCAUGGUGGGCUCCUGCAGAACUCUUUCGAGAGUACCACUGCUGAGGCUUCUCAUAGAGAAAGUAGAAGAACAAGGGGGAAUAAUGAGUAUAUCCAAGAGGGACAUUAAACUGAAACCAGAGUUGAAGAGAUGCUCCUCCCAAUUGAGGUAGGUAGGAGUGAUUUUGAUGUUGAUGUAAUUUAUCAUGUUGUAGAUUGAGUACUUUUUUGGAAAUUGUAAAUAAAAUAAAAGCCAUUAUUUUGAGUUUUUUUUUUACUAAUAAAAUGGUAACUGGGGUGAGUCCAAAAAAAAAAAGAAAACUUUCUGGAAAAAACUUUUACCAAAAUGGCAUGAACCACAGUGCUUGUACAAAAGGAGCGAAGUGCGGUAAACCCUUAAAUGCAUAAACGAAGGUUGCCAAAUGUCGAAUGCUGCUUACGCUUAUGAGAUACUUCUUGGUCCUAAAUGUCAAAAUAUGCCCUCUUGAAAAGGUAGCGUUAAACAAGAAGAUAUUCGACAAGUAGCCUUCAAUAUCUCUUCCGGAUUAAACAAUUUCCCAUGCCAGUUAAACGAUUCCUUGGCAACCAAAUCUGUCAAAUAAAUAAGAUAAGAUGGGGUAUCACGACACCCUCCUGUGGAGUCGUAGAAAACCAUUGCCGCAACCAACAUGACUGACAUUCAACUGGCAUACCGACAUCAAAAUUAAAGCCCCAGUGGAUAUGCUCUCCACGCCCACUCCAAAAAUUAGAGAGUUGCAGCCUCUUCCUUCAUGCGGCACCAUAGGCAGAGGGAAGAUGGGCAACAAGUACAGGCCACAGCAACAAUUGUAUUUUUGCUGCUAUAAGUAAAGACCAUAGUUUCUUCCAAGUGGCUAUAUGAAUAACAUACAUAGACUUCCUAAUUUUCUAUCAAUCCGGGCUAUAUGGUAUCCUGUACUGGAAAUUUUUUAUACACUAUCAAUGUACAAUUUUUUUUCUUUUUACACUAUAAUAGGUUUAUAUUAAUGCAACAUUAUAUGAAUUCAAAUAUGAAAUUCAAAUCAUGAACAUGCGGUAUACAUUCAUAGCUGCAAGUAAAAAGAAAUCGCUAGACUACCGGUGUAUAAAAAGUUAAUCCAUGUAUAUUUUUGCUAGUACUUCACUAAACUCUUUUCUAGCAAAUCUUUACUGAUAGUGUAGCCUACACACAUCGGAUCGUAGGUAGGCUUUCCCUCGUACUUAUAACCAAACACCCUGCCCCUUUCACAAUUAAUGUGGGAUAAACUCAACAAUCUCCCCCUCAUAUAUCGGAUCUUAGGUUGAACCAUCAUCAAUCUCCCCCUCGCGCAUUGGCCUGUAGGUGGGAUCGGUAUCAACACAUUGGCCCCUAGGUUGGAUUAGCAUCAACAUAACCGAUGAGAGAUAAAUUCAAUGAUCUCCUCCUCGUACAUCAGCCCCUAGGUUGGAUCCCCUCACACUUAUAAUAACCAAGUACCGUGCCGCAAUCGCUAUGGAUAAACUAAAAAAUCUCACCCUCACAUAAUCGAUGUGAUAAACUCAAUAAUCUCCCUUUCAUACAUUAGGCCUAGGUUGGAUCAUGGAUAAAUUCAAUAAAUUCAAUAAUCUCCCCUUCAUACAUCAUGUCCUAGGUCGGAUCAGGAUAAAAUCAGUAAUUUCCCUCUCACACAUCGGCCUCUAGGUUGGAUCGUCUCACACUUAUAACCAAACACUCUGCCACAACUGAUGUGGAUAAAUUCAACAAUCUUCCCUUCACUUAUCAGGCCCUAGAUUGGUUUAGUAUCACCUUGCCCCAUCCACAUCCCUCUCACACAUCGGCCGCUAGGUUGAAUCAGCAUCAACCUCUCAACAAUCUCCCUCUCACACAUUGGGCCCUUGGUUGGAUCAACAUCAACCUCUCAUCCGACAGGCCUAUCACACAUCGGCUCUGAGUUGAAUCAGCAUUAAUCUUUUAUCCGACGAGCAACAAUCGAUCCAAAUGUCUACUGGGAGGAGUUGUCAUAAUUGGGUUCUGAUACUAGUGCUGGGUACUCUCGGGCCUUCUCACUCCGAAAGUUAUAUAACUAAGUACCCUACCCCUUUCACAACCAUAACGGAUGUAUGAUAAAUUCAACAAUAACUCUCAUAGUCUGUGGAACCAGGAGCUUGUCAUAUGAUUUCCUUUCAGGGGAGUCAGAAGACUCGUAACAGAACUUUCAACCCCUUUUGGUGCUUAUUUUUUCUGUUUAUGAUAUGUAGAUGUCUACGGAUUCAAGCACCAGUAGUCAUGUUUCUGCUUUGUUUUGAUGCUAUUAUUGACCAGUCAAAAGAAUUACUGUGACCUACCAUGUGAUUCAGAUUUGAUAGUGUACAUUUUACAUGGAUAUGCAACUAUUACUUUUUAGCGUUUCUCUCUUCUGAAUUGGCUUAAUUCAUAAAUUUGUGCUCUUCUGAUGAAGGCUUUUCCAUGCUUCUAAUUCUGUAAUCUUAUUCCUGCUUGUAUCACAAUGACUUUAGCAUUAUAUGCUUUUCUGCACUAAGAAUCUCUUCACUUUACAGUAAAGCUACUGGAAAUGAACAAUAAAUUUGCUUUCUUUCUGUAAUAAUCUAUUAUAGGAAUUGCAGGCUUGGUGCUUCAGUGGAAUGAACAUUGUUCUUGUUUGAUGUUAGGCUUAGAGAGUAUGACUGAGAUGAUAUGUGUUCUUAUCUCAAACUUUCUAGGAAUCUUAGGAGCUGCAACUUGAGUGGCAAGGUUCUUGAUCUAACUAGGAUUCACAACCUUCUUUUCCUGUAACUCUCACAUGAUGAUUCUUCAUCAAUAUUUGAAGUCGGAAUUAAGAUACUUGCAGAAUAUUUAGCAGGUUUUUCUCUUCAAAGAAUGCGAUCAUCUCAUCAGAAAAUUCGAUUUUUUUGAAUUAAUCCGCUGGGCAAGUUUUUCUUUUGAAAGAAUGUGAGCAUCUGUAAAGUUAAUUGUUUCUUGUGGUUAUAGGACGGAGCUGCAUGUGUAGUUGUUACCAACAUUAUGGGCAAUGGGUUCAGAAAUUGAAGUACUUGAGUAGAGAUUGAGUUUGUUUUUGGGUGAGCUGCAGAAAGAAUUUGAAAUUUUUGAUAGAAUUGUCUACAAAAAUAAGAAUCAGCAUCAAAGGUGCUCUUAUUGUCAGUGUCUGCUCAAGGUAGGUAGUUCUUCUGCUGAAGUUUCAAUUUUACUUACCUAUUAUAUAGCACUAACCUGUACGUUUCUAGGCUUAGAUUUCUGUUUACCCAAAAUUAACUGUGAUUCUGCUGACAGGUGAGAAGGGAUUUGAGGCUUCUGCAAUCAGCAAAUUUGGGGGAAAUCUUGAACUCCUGCUUUGUCGCAAUCCAUAGAAAAAGACCUAAACAAAAAGUGCAGCUUUGGGAAAGGUAUAAACAAAAAGGAGGAUCCUUAUCCUAAUUUCUUGUUAACCUUAUGCAUUGAUGACUGUGCUUAUUGAUGCUUGUAUCUUGUUAUGGAGCAAUUAGCAAGACUCUGAAGAGGGUUCAUUGCAAAGUUAUAAAUCUUCAAAAUUUUCUGAGUCAUUUCAUGAGGCUUCAAAAAUGUAAAAUUGGAAUUUGAAAAUUAUUUGCCAGGGAAAUUGAUUUAGAAAUUACUCUAUCUAAUGUACAAGUAAUAGCAAUUGAACUGUUAUGUUCUAUAGUAUUUCAUAUACAUAAAUUUUUGGAUAUUUAUAUGCAUGUCUGUUUUACACUGCAUUUUCAGUUUGAAGAGGAGAAGGUCUGAUGUUGGUAAAUAUAGCUUUUUGGAACGGCUUCUUGGAGUUGCACGUCUACUAUCGCUGGUAGUAAUUUGUUCAUGAUUGCUGUCAUAACUGUGUUUCUCUAACUUGUUAUUGUACCUUCAGUCCUCAACGAACCUGAAGUCUCAAUGGGAGGCAUGCCAUUAAGCUACAAUAUUAUAUAUGUUCUUGUCAAACAUUUCCAUUGUUAAUUUGUUAUGAUGUCCAAUUAGUCAUUGUAUAUCAAGAUCUUUAGGUCUUAGAGGAGUCAGACUCUUGGUUAGUUUCAGUCUCUUCCAUUUUUCUCAGCAAGUCUUUUCUUUUUUAACUGUAACAGCAAGUCAUAUGUUGUCUUAUUCCUUUCCUUCCCUCUUCAUCUACUUCUCUGGUACCGUUGUAAGCUAUUCCCUCUAAUCAUGUUGCUGAAGGUAAUCGUCUAAAGAACUUAUGCUAUGCUUUUGAUUCUCCUCUUCCCCUAGAUAAUGACACUGACGCUGCAAAUCCUGAAUCUGCUCCAGAAGGUCCUGAUGGCAAGGUCAAGACAUUGGUUCUUUGGCUGAUCCUGUUUCACAAGGUAAGUAUAUAAGAGACGGUUCUUCCAUUGCAGGACCUGCUGCAAAGAGUAGCAUGACUCUGGAAGAUGGCCUACUUACAACUUCAAAGCUUAUCUCCGCAUUUGAGUCCCUUUAACACACAAGGCCGGGAAGAAAAAGGUUGCCUUCUUAGCGGUGAGAGCUCCUUCACCAUCAACCGCACACAUAAACUUGAUUCUGGUGUCAAACUAACAGACAAAAGUUGAUUAACAGAAAUGGGAUGCAUUUUUCAGUCUGCUUAUUGGUGACAAUAAGAAGAGCAGUAGUAUCUCUUACGAGUAUAUUCAGACCAAAAAGCCAGUCAUAUUGUGCUUUUUCCCCCUCUCUAUGGCUGUUUUUUUUUUUCUUUCUUUUCAUUUUUUCCCAAUUACGCUUAACGUGGUUUAAACCUUUGGAGCAACUCCAAUGGCGUGUCAUGGGAGGUACUCAUUACACGUAUCAUCAGAAUGAUGCGUGUAAAUGUUGCUAAAAAAAAAGAGGAUAUAGCGAGCCCUUUUUUGCAACAGAUAAAUUUGGUAUCACUGUCACAUAUGAUAUUUUCACAUUUGAGGUAUCACAUAUAUUUGAUUAAUAAUUACAUAAUUAUUUUUUAGAAAAUAACAAUAUAUUAUUUUUGAGAGAUAGAAAAAGAUAUAUUGUCCAAACUUAGAAAUUAAUAAUAUUAUUUUUUUAGAAAAUAAAAAAAUCCAAAAGGUAAAAAAUUUAAUGAAAAUUAAUAAUUCAUUUUUGAAAAAUAACAGAAUUAUUUUUUUUAAAAAAAUUACAUUAUUUAUUUACGGAAUAUGUAUUGUGCAUUAUUAAAAUAAAUGUUUGAUUUAACUGUAGACCCAUACUAUUAUCCCGUGUUUCCUUAGUAAUAUAAAGCUAAUAGUCAUAUCAUACAACGUCCACCUUGCAAAAGAAUUUCUAGGCUGAUUUUUGUCAUAUUUUGAAUGCCAACAACUAUCCAGAAGCAGGUAAGUUGAACAGUACGCUAAGAGCUUGCCACUCUUCAAUUGCUUCUUCAAUGAAGAAUUGAUUGCUUAAGUUUUACAUUAUAUGAUAGACGGCAUUUGGACUGCAUUUUAUAGCUGUUGUGUUGAUGUAAAUUUUAUUGAAAGGAAAUCCAAAAGAAGUUUCGAAUGGUGAGGGUCGAUUAUUUCGCAAAAGUGGUCUCGAAAGAAUCAAAUGAUUCAAAAUGUUGAAGUGAUUUUUAGAAUUAGUUUUAAUGAUAAUUAAUUUUUUUUAAAGUUAUGAUGUUUGACAAAUAAUUACUGGAGAAACCCGAAAAAGAAAAACAAUUAAAAUAGUGAAUUAAUAGUGAAUCAAAUGGUUCAUGAAACCAGUCAUUUGCUUGGGGAAAACUGAUUCCACGAUUACUAAGAGCAGCAAAACUGAACCAACCAAAGAUCAAAUAACAUCCACAUCUAUAAACAUAACAAUGACCGACGUAAAACGGAGAAGGGAUCCAGAUAAAAUAUGGAGUAAACCAUAUUCAUGCAUCAACAGAACAACGUUCUUUUCCCAGUAAAGCCUAAAAGAUAAGUUGGAAGAAUAAUACAAAAUUUAGUUUAAUACAACAAAAUAAUUAAUAACUGCCGCAAAACUGACUCAAUAUCCUGACUAUUCCUGUCUGUCUUUGGGUUUCAAGGGAGAUCUUAUGGCCACAAUUCUGGGAAUGAAUUAACUCCAGUUGCCUUCUCUCACAGUUCU
rnacentral:lncRNA from 1 species